rnacentral:lncRNA from 1 species
GGGUGGCAUUGGACAACGACAAGGUUGCAACUCGUCUUUCAAGUAAGUCUGCAAGGUUUGUUCCAAAGAGGCGUAAGUGUGCAGCGUAAAGACAUGGAAUCUGGUGACAUGGUGUUGAUCACUUUGGCGUCGCUCCUAUCGAAGAUGAUGUUUGUGUUAAUGCCUUAAUGGUGCACUGCAGGCAGAACCAAGUUAAUAGGGCAAAAUCCAUAUAUGUGAUGAAGAUGAUGUACUGAUGAAUACCUAUAUCUAUUAGAGUAGACUAUGCAUGUUUCUGGAUCAUCUAAUCAUGAUGUACUGAUGAAUACUCCUACAAUUUCUAAGCUCUCUUUAAUUGGGAAGCUCUCAUAGCUCUAUGGUCUAGAGUUGUUGCUGCCUGCACCUCUCAGUCGGGUCCUCUCGUGUGGCCAUAUGGUGUUUUCUAUCCCUUGAUGCUUUAUUAUAUGAGAUAAGAAAGGACGCCCUUUUUUGAAAAAAUAUCUCUCUCCAAUCUUCAUUCAUCUUGAUUUCACUCAUGUUGUACUCGUGUAGUUCACCCACAUGUGAUUUUCUCUCUCGUCUCUUCAGGCUAAUCUUGACCUCAAUCUCAGAUUAUUUAUUAUUAUUUUUCUAUCCAUUUCUUGCCUCUCCAGGCUAAUCUUGACCUCAAUCUCAGAUUACUAGACCGAAAGCGCACCCUGGCGCGCCUUGCCUGGUUCAGCACUAUGGCCAAGCAUCUAAAACUUCAAUAUAAGAUAUAGAGCAUGGACAUAAAUAAUAUACCAUAAGCAAGGUGAGAAAGGUUAUAAUCCUACAUGUUUCAGUUAUGUUCCAGCCUCAGCGAGUUCAAAAGGCACAAUAUGUCUCAAAGAGGUGGGAUAAGAACAUGUAUACUAGUAAUGAUUCAGUACAAAACGCGCACACAACUAUAAAUGAUAGUAAUGCUUCUGUACAUAGAUCCUUUUAUCCACAACCAAGCCAACGCUGGGUAUCUAUGAAAAAUCAUUGUCAUUUACAUGUGGUACUCUUCUACUUGAGCUUAUCUUCUCAGCAUGUAUAGUGUUUUUCUCCAAACGAUAGCCUGGUUUCGCUUGUGCAAGGCUUUCAGUAAGCAUCCCAGUAAAGGUGCAGAGAUGCAAAUAAACCACGGCAUGAUGCAUCCAUACUAUGAAAUGAAAAGAAGGACAAGAUCGUUAAGGCACAUGGAAGUGCGUGAUGUGCUUAUACAAAAACAGAUACUACAUUGUAGAAACAUAACUUCUCAAAAAAGGAGUGAACAGUGAAUACAUCAAAAGUACAAUGAAUGUAUACCCAUUGUCAGUUCAUUUACUCAGUAAUCAGCAAAAAUAUACUUCUCAACAUUUGAAGUUUCAAAUAAAACAAAGGCUUGAGAAAGGACUAAUAACAUAAAUGAGAAGAGGAACACAAACGAUAGAAGAAAGAGGCCAGGGUAUACCUUAAAUCAAGUAUAUUUUAAUUCAGUUUCUCGGUCAAUCCUUCAUACCUCCUCAUUUGUAGUUAUCUGAGGCAAGGAACAGAGAGUAAUCAUUCACACAAAGUACUUCACAACAUGAACAAUCUCAUUCAGUUUCUCGGUCAAUCAUUCAUACCUCCUCAUUUGUAGUUAUCCGAGGCAAAGAACAGAGAAUAAUCAUUCGCACAAAGCACUUCACAACAUGAACAAUCUCAGCAUACAACUCCCAAUUGGAAAAAUCUUAUUCUAGGUCACAAGGAAAUGAUUUAGUGAAGCAUGCACAUGAACCCAACACUCUGUAGAAGCAAAUAAAUAGAGAAGGUAAAAAGAAUGGUAUACCUUCAGCUUAGCCACAACGUCGAGCAAAAUAAUAUGAAUUAUCAUAACUAUUUUCAUUCAUUGUAAAGAUUGGUAAAGAAUGAGUCAUGUAUAGCACAAGUAUGACUCAACAUUACAACAAAAGGGGGAAUGGAAUGGUUGAUUAAUGAUUAUUAUAGCUAGUAUUUUGAUUCACUGUAAAGGUACAAAGAAUGACUCAGCAUUAGAAAUAAUUACAUUAGUUGAUUAUUGAUUAUCUGUAGCUAAAUCUCAUUUUAAAAUACAACCAAGAUGAACAAAAAAUCUCACCCCGCCUUUGGUGAAAACACUCUUCUCUAAUUGCUCAUUCCGUGACACCGUGAGUCGCUUGUCAUAUCACAAGUCGAUCUGCAACCACAAAUGCAGUCAGAUAACCAAUCUAGAUUAGUGACCUACCUGAAAGAACAAAAUAGAGGCAGUCAAAAAGCUACCAUAGCUAGCUAUUUCAAAAUAACUAAAUAUGAAAGUGAAGAAAAAAAUCAACAUAUAUUGCCUUUUAAAUGAGGCAAGUACAUCGAUGAUUCCUCUGACAGAAGAUGUCAGGUCCUAAAACCGCAAGGGUGUGUGCAUCUAGUGUGAAAUUUGUUGCCGACUCUUCAAAUUUCUAUNNNNNNNNNNNNNNNNNNNNNNNNNNNNNNNNNNNNNNNNNNNNNNNNNNNNNNNNNNNNNNNNNNNNNNNNNNNNNNNNNNNNNNNNNNNNNNNNNNNNNNNNNNNNNNNNNNNNNNNNNNNNNNNNNNNNNNNNNNNNNNNNNNNNNNNNNNNNNNNNNNNNNNNNNNNNNNNNNNNNNNNNNNNNNNNNNNNNNNNNNNNNNNNNNNNNNNNNNNNNNNNNNNNNNNNNNNNNNNNNNNNNNNNNNNNNNNNNNNNNNNNNNNNNNNNNNNNNNNNNNNNNNNNNNNNNNNNNNNNNNNNNNNNNNNNNNNNNNNNNNNNNNNNNNNNNNNNNNNNNNNNNNNNNNNNNNNNNNNNNNNNNNNNNNNNNNNNNNNNNNNNNNNGGUUAACAGAAAGCAAGCUGAAAGCUUGUUUACCUUAAAAUCAUCUCUUACAUAGCUUAAUAUCUACAACCCAUCUCCAAAUGAUUCGUACAGUGUUGCAAACCUUGUCAAUUGGGCAUCAUCCUCACAUUCUUAAGUAUUUACAUAUAUGAAUUAAGCUCAGUUGGUAUGAGCACACAAGUGUAAUAUGAUUCAGUGCCUAGCAAGAUAGAACAAAAAAUGUCAAAAAGGGUAGAAUAGACUUGCAGAGAGGCUACCAACAUAACAAUAGGGAUUCCUUUUUACCAAAAGCAAAAGCAGCAAGCUUCACCUUGCUCCAUGAAAAGUAGGGCUCAUACGGGCUAGGGACCUGAUUCAUACCUAUGGCAGGCUAGCCUCGAUAGGAGCAGAGACUUAUAUGUGAACCUGCAGCGCGCAUUGGUGCACCGUGCUGGUUCCUAACAUUUGUGCCUAAGCAUUUGUGCCAGGUAGAUUGUAGUUGUGGGACAAGCUUAGCAUGUUUAGCCAAUUAACAUACCCAUGAUAAAGCAUUUUUAAGAGCAAUAGGGUUAUCUUGUUCAAGAGCAAUAGGGUAGCAGAAGCAGCCACCACGGCAGUGAAACGAAUAUUGAAGCAGCUCCCAUUCUUGUCCUUUUUGGAUUGUUUAAUUUAUUUCCCUAAAGAUAUGUUAUGCGCAAGAGCAUUCCAAAUUUCAGAACAUGGCCGAUUACAUCGUAAAGAUUGAACUUCAAACGAAGAAGUCAAAACCAUUCAAAGUUGUUACUACCCUUUUUUGUCUGCCUGUUUGUUUGACUUUUUCAGUGAUACUUAGGAUACCAGUAUACCAGUUAUUUGAGAAGAAGGACGGUACAACAAAAUGCAAGCCUAGUAGCGAAGUAUAAGCAUUGCAAGAUCGAAGUCUGGUUGCCCAUUUUGACUCCUGUUCUCACCUCGAUCGGCAUGAGUGGGUGAUUCAUUUAUACUCAAGCAACUGAUCAUCUCCAUUAAGCCUGAAGUUUGCAAGCCUCACAUCACCCUGGAGCAUGCCCCUGGUGAGGAGCCGCGUCGGCCGUUCCUCAGUGAUGCACGGGGUCUCCGCGUCCUUGGGCUUGAGCAAGAAUUUGAACUCAAGUGUUUCUGCAGUAAAUUCCACAGAUCAAAAUAGUUAGAAACAAUGCACAUGUGCGGUAGUUUACAGCAACGUUUGCGAAAGUGAAUCAUACAUUUGAGCAUCCAAUUGAGGCAAACAAACCCGUGCAAAAGAAUAGUAUAUGAAAACACAAAAUCCUAAAGGUUUUCAGUUUACUGAAAGGCUACUUGAGAGUACAACACUAAGCAGUUCAGUUUAGUUAGGCAGUAGGUAUGUAGCAUGCAUACCAUGGUCCGGCAACACAACUAAGCUGACCUCCCGCAUGUUCGCCAGCUCCCUUUCCAUCGCGAGCUGCAUAACCGAAACUGAAUCAAUGUAAACCUAAACUGUCAAGCACGAGCGCAAAAGUAAUCAGGAGCUGGUGGCGGGUCCUUACGGCGCAGGCAGGUUCUCAUGAGCCGAUGAUGGGCUCAGAGCCGUAGACGUGCGGCACGAGGUCGCCAAUGAUCCACACGUUCUCCAUCUUGAGCGACACGUAGAGCUGGGCGCUGCCAUGCCACGACCCCGUCACGGCGCCGCCGCCCUCGUCCCCGCCAACUCCGUCGCCGCCGCCGCAGCCACCAAUCAAAUAGCAAACCCUAACCCUAGAACAGUAGCAGGCCCGACGUGUUACCAGCAGUGCCAGAUAACAAAUCGAACAAAAAAAGAGUAAGGGAGCAUGAAAGAACCUCCUCCGUUGCACGAAGACAUCAGCGGCAUCCAACUCACCCCUACUCCGGCCCAACCGCAAGACGAUAGCCUCCUUCCCCUUUCCCAACUGCAAGCGGACGACCAAGAGGGAAUCAGUCGCAAGGAAAGGAAGGAAGCUGACAAGGGCGGGAGGAAAAGCACCUUUUUCACGGCGGCGAGGCAACGAUAAGCUGGAACGGCGUCGGAUCUGGUGGAAAGGGAUGAAGUGGAGAGAAAGGGACGAAUGAGAAGCAGGAAGAAGAUGGAUGCACCCCUCAGGGCAUGUCCAUCUUAGCAAUGCCACGUAGGAUAAAUGAUGAGGUGGAGGAGAGAAAAAUCAUAAAAAAGGCUUGUUUUCUCUAAUUUAAGAGAAGACAAGAGAUGAUCUCUUAGUACGAUAUGUCUUACCAUGUUUUUAGGAAGAGCUAGUUAUUGAAGAUAAGGCUGAGAGAUGACCCAUUGUAUACAAUUUUUUUUGUCAUUUAUAAAUUUACAUGCAAAACUUAAGAUAAGACUACCUUAUCAACCAUUGUACAUGCCCUCACUCACCUCAUCCACGCCCGAGCAAACCAGCACGUGACACGCGAAGGGUCGACACAUGAAAUCCCCAUACUGCCCACGACGGGUUCUCAAAAUUACAUGCGGAGCCACCGCACGAUCCAGCGUGGAAGCCACACACCGCAGCUAGCCUCACGCACGACGCCGACAAAAGGGCCCCACCAGGCAUCGAGCCCACGCGACAGAGAGGCGUGAGCCAACGGGGAACGUCAGAAAGGAACUGUAUAGCUGUUCGAAGCCGAAUUUUAUGCAACGGCCCAGCUCAUCCCAGGGACAGAUCUGACGGCCCAAAUCGCAUCAAGUUCGAGAUCUGACAGUCCAACUAGCCUGAGCUCUGAGAGAGCCCAUGUUUAGACAGGAAUAUAACGGAUAACACUCGGUAGAAGCAAAUAAAUAGAAGGUAAAAAGAAUGGUAUACCUUCAGGUUAGCCAGAACAUCGAGCAAAAUAAUAUGAAUUAUCAUAAAUAUUUUCAUUCAUUGUAAAGAUUGGUAAAGAAUGACUUAUGUAUAGCACAAGUAUGACUCAACGUUACAACUAAAGCGGGAAUGAAAUGUUUGAUUAAUGAUUAUUAUAGCUAGUAUUUUCAUUCAUUGUAAAGGCACAAAGAAUGACUCAGCAUUACAAAUAAUUACAUUAGUUUAUUAUUGAUUAUCUGUAGCUAAAUCUCAUUUUAAAAUACAACCAAGAUGAACAUAAAAUCUCACCCCGCCUUAGGUGAAAACACUCUUCUCUAAUUGCUCAUUCCGUGACACCGUGAUCCGCUUGUCAUAUCACAAGUCGACCUGCAACCACAAAUGCAGUCAAAUAACCAAUUUAGAUUAGUGACCUACCUGAAAGAACAAAAUAGAAACAGUCAAAAAGCUACCAUAGAUAGCUAUUUCAAAAUAACUAAAUAUGAAAGAGAAGAAAAAAAUCAACAUGUAUGGCCUUUUAAAUGAGGCAAGUACAUUGAUGAUGCCUCUGACAAGAGAUCCUAAAACUGGAAGGGUGUGUUCAUCUAGUCUAAAAUUUGUUGUCGAAUCUUCNNNNNNNNNNNNNNNNNNNNNNNNNNNNNNNNNNNNNNNNNNNNNNNNNNNNNNNNNNNNNNNNNNNNNNNNNNNNNNNNNNNNNNNNNNNNNNNNNNNNNNNNNNNNNNNNNNNNNNNNNNNNNNNNNNNNNNNNNNNNNNNNNNNNNNNNNNNNNNNNNNNNNNNNNNNNNNNNNNNNNNNNNNNNNNNNNNNNNNNNNNNNNNNNNNAACCCAUGCUUAAAGGGUAACAGAAAGCAAGAUGAAUGCUUGUUUACCUUAAAAUCGUCUCCUACAUAGCUUAGUAUCUACAACCCAUCUCCAAAUGAUUCGUACAGUAUUGCAAACCUUGUCAAUUGGGCAUCAUCCUCACAUUCUUAAACAUUUACAUAUAUGAAUUAAGCUUAGUUGGUUUGAGCACACAAGUGUAAUAUGAUUCAGUGCCUAGCAAGACAGAACAAAAAAUGUCCAAAAGGGCAGAAUAGACUUGCAGAGAGGCUACCAACAUAACAAUAGGGAUUCCUUUUUUACCAAAAGCAAAAUUAGCAAGCUUCACCUUGCUCCAUGAAAAGUAGGGCUCAUAUGGGCUAGGGACCUGAUUCAUACCUAUGGCAGGCUAGCCUCGAUAGGAGCAGAGACUUCUAUGUGAACCUGCAGCGCGCAUUCGUGCGUCGUGCUGGUUCCUAACAUUUUUGUCUAAGCAUGGGUGCCAGGUAGAUUGUAAUUGUGGGACAAGCUUAGCAUGUUUAGCCAGUUAACAUACCCAUGACAAAGCAUUUUUAAGAGUAAUAGGGUUAGCUUGUUCAAGAGCAAUAGGGUAGCAGAAGCAGCCACCAUGGCAGUGAAAUGAAAAUUGAAGCAACUCCCAUUCUUGUCCUUUUUGGAUUUUUUUAGUUUAUUUCCCGAAAGAUAUGUUAUGCGCAAGAGCAUUACAGAUUUUAGAACAUGUCCGAUUACAUCGUAAAGAUUGAACUUCAAACGAAGAAGUCAAAACCAUUCAAAGUUGCUCUUACCCUUUUUUGUCUACCUGUUUCUUUGACUUCAGAGAUACUUAAGAUACCAGUAUACCAGUUAUUUGAGAAGAAGGACGGUACAACAAAAUGCAAGCCUAGUAGUGAAGCAUAAGCAUUGCAAGAUCGAAGUCUGGUUGCCCAUUUUGACUCCUGUUCUCACCUCGGUCGCCAUGAGUGGGUGAUUCAUUUAUACUCAAGCAACUGAUCAUCUCCAUUAAGCCUGAAGUUUGCAAGCCUCACAUCACCCUGGAGCAUGCCCCUGGUGAGGAGCCGCGUCGGCCGUUCCUCAGUGAUGCACGGGGUCUCCGCGUCCUUGGGCUUGAGCAAGAAUUUGAAGUCAAGUGUUUCUGCAGUAAAUUCCAUAGAUCAAAAUUGUUAGAAACAAUGCACAUGUGUGGUAGUUUACGACAACGUUUGCGAAAGUGAAUCAUACAUUUGAGCAGCCAAUUGAGGCAAACAAACCCGUGCAAAAGAAUAGUAUAUGAAAACACAAAAUCCUAAAGGUUUUUAGUUUACUGAAAGGCAACUUGAGAGUAUAACACUAAGCAGUUCAGUUUAGUUAGGCAGUAGGUAUGUAGCGUGCAUGCCAUGGUCCGGCAACACAACUAAGCUGAGCUCCCGCAUGGACGCCAGUUCCCUUUCCAUCGCGAGCUGCAAAACCAGAACCGAAUCAAUGUAAACCUAAACUGUCAAGCACGAGCGCAAGAGUAAUCAGGAGCUGGUGGCGGGUCCAUACGACGCGAGCAGGUUCUCAUGAGCAGAUGAUGGGCUCAGAGCCGUAGAUGUGCGGCACAAGGUCACCAAUGAUCCGCGCGUUCUCCAUCUUGAGCGACACAUAGAGCUGGGCACCGUCGUGCCACGACCCCGUCACGUCGCCACCUCCCUCUUCCCCGCCAACUCCGCCGCCGCCGCAGCCACCAAUCAAAUAGCAAACCCUAAGCCUAGAAUAGUAGCAGGCCCGACGUGUUAUCAGCGACAUCCAGCUCACCCCUACUCUGGCCCAACCGCAAGGCGAUGGCCCCCUUCCCCUUUCCCAACUGCAGGCGGACGACCAGGAGGGAAUCAGACGCAAGGAAAAGAAGGAAGCGGACAAGGGCGGGAGGAAAAGCACCUUUGUCACGGCGGCGAGGCAACGAUAAGAUGGAACAGCGUCGGAUCUGGUGGAAAGGGACGAAGUGGUGAGAAAGGGACGAAUGAGAAGCAGGAAGAAGAUGGAUGCACCCCUCACUCACCUCAUCCACGCCCGAGCCAACCAGCAUGUGACACGCGAAGGGUCGACACAUGAAAUCCCCACACUGCCCAUGAUGGGUUCUCAAAAUUACAUGCGGAGCCACCACACGAUCCAGCGCGGAAGCCACACACCGUGGCUAGCCUCACACACGACACCGACAGAAGUGCCCCACCAGGCAUCGCGCCCACGCGAUAGAGAUGCGUGAGCCAACGAGGAACGUCAGAAAAGGAAGGAACUGUGGAGCUGUUCGAAGCCGAAUUUUGUGCAACGGCCCAGCUCAUUCCAGGGGCAGAUCUGACGGCCCAAAUCGCAUCAAGUUCGAGAUCCGACGGUCCAAAUAGCCUAAGCUCUGAGAGAGCCCUUGUUUAGACAAGAAUAUAACGGGUAACACUCUGUAGAAGUAUAUAAAUAGAGAAGGUAAAAAGAAUGGUAUACCUUCAGGUUAGCCACAACAUCGAGCAAAAUAAUAUGAAUUAUUAUAAAUAUUUUCAUUCAUUGUAAAGAUUGGUAAGGAAUGACUCAUGUAUAGCACAAGUAUGAAUCACCAUUAUGACAAAAGGGGGAAUGGAAUGUUUGAUUAAUGAUUAUUAUAGCUAGUAUUUUCAUUCUUUGUAAAGGCUAAAAGAAUGACUCAACAUUAGAAAUAAUUACAUUAGUUGAUUAUUAUUGAUUAUCUGUAGUUAAACUCAUUUUAAAAUACAACCAAGAUGGACAAAAAAUCUCACCCCGCCUUAGGUGAAAACACUGUUCUCUAAUUGCUCAUUCCGUGACACCGUGAUCCGCUUGUCAUAUCACAAGUCGACCUGCAACCACAAAUGCAGUCAAAUAACCAAUUUAAAUUAGUGACCUACCUGAAAGAACAAAAUUGAAGCAGUCAAAAAGCUACCAUAGAUAGCUAUUUCAAAAUAACUAAAUAUGAAAGAGAAGAAAAAAAAUCCACAUGUAUGGCCUUUUAAAUGAGUCAAGUACAUCGAUGAUGCCUCUAACGAGAGAUCCUAAAACUGCAAGGGUGUGUGCAUCCACUCUAAAAUUUNNNNNNNNNNNNNNNNNNNNNNNNNNNNNNNNNNNNNNNNNNNNNNNNNNNNNNNNNNNNNNNNNNNNNNNNNNNNNNNNNNNNNNNNNNNNNNNNNNNNNNNNNNNNNNNNNNNNNNNNNNNNNNNNNNNNNNNNNNNNNNNNNNNNNNNNNNNNNNNNNNNNNNNNNNNNNNNNNNNNNNNNNNNNNNNNNNNNNNNNNNNNNNNNNNNNNNNNNNNNNNNNNNNNNNNNNNNNNNNNNNNNNNNNNNNNNNNNNNNNNNNNNNNNNNNNNNNNNNNNNNNNNNNNNNNNNNNNNNNNNNNNNNNNNNGUACUUACAAACGCAUGCAUAAAGGUUAACAGAAAGCAAGCGGAAUGGCUUGUUUACCUUAAAAUCAUCUCUUACAUAGCUUAAUAUCUACAACCCAUCUCCAAAUGAUUCAUACAGUAUUGCAAUCCUUGUCAAUUGGGCAUCGUCCUCACAUUCUUAAAUAUUUACAUAUAUGAAUUAAGCUCAGUUGGUUUGAGCACACAAGUGUAAUAUGGUUCAGUGCCUAGCAAUAUAGAACAAAAAAUGUCAAAAAGGGCAGAAUAGACUUGCAGAGAGGAUACCAACAUAACUAUAGGGAUUCCUUUUUACCAAAAGCAAAAGCAGCAAGCUUCACCUUGCUCCAUGAAAAGUAGGGCUCAUACGGGCUAGGGACUUGAUUCAUACCUACGGCAGGCUAGCCUCGAUAGGAGCGGAGACUUAUAUGUGAACCUGCAACGCGCAUUGGUGCGCCAUGCUGGUUCCUAACAUUUGUGCCUAAGCAUGUGUGCCAGGUAGAUUGUAAUUGUGAGACAAGCUUAGCAUGUUUAGCCAAUUAACAUACCCAUGAUAAAGCAUUUUUAAGAGCAAUAUCGUUAGCUUGUUCAAGAGCAAUAGGGUAGCAGAAGCAGUCACCACGGCAGUGAAAUGAAUAUUGAAGCAACUCCCAUUCUUGUCCUUUUUGGAUUGUUUAAUUUAUUUCCCUAAAGAUAUGUUAUGCGCAAGAGCAUUCCAGAUUUUAGAACAUGGCCGAUUACAUCGUAAAGAUUGAACUUCAAACGAAGAAGUCAAAACCAUUCAAAGUUGUUACUACUCUUUUUUGUCUGCCUAUUUGUUUGACUUCAGAGAUACUUAGGAUACCAGUAUACCAGUUAUUUGAGAAGAGGGAUGGUACAACAAAAUGCAAGCAUAGUAGCGAAGCAUAAGCAUUGCAAGAUCAAAGUCUGCUUGCCCAUUUUGACUCCUGUUCUCACCUCGGUCGCCAUGAGUGGGUGAUUCAUUUAUGCUCAAGCAACUGAUCAUCUCCAUUAAGCCCGAAGUUUGCAAGCCUCACAUCACCCUGGAGCAUGCCCCUGGUGAGGAGCCGCGUCAGCCGUUCCUCAGUGAUGCACGGGGUCUCCGCGUCCUUGGGCUUGAGCAAGAAUUUGAAGUCAAGUGUUUCUGCAGUAAAUUCCAUAGAUCAAAAUUGUUAGAAACAAUGCACAUGUGCGGUAGUUUACAACAGCAUUUGCGAAAGUGAACCAUACAUUUGAGCAUCCAAUUGAGGCAAACAAACCCGUGCAAAAGAAUAGUAUAUGAAAACACAAAAUCCUGAAGGUUUUCAGUUUACUGAAAGGCAACUUGAGAGUACAACACUAAGUAGUUCACUUUAGUUAGGCAGUAGGUAUGUAGCAUGCAUACCAUGGUCCGGCAACACAACUAAGCUGAGCUCCCGCAUGGACGCCAGCUCCCUUUCCACCGCGAGCUGCAAAACCAGAACCGAAUCAAUGUAAACCUAAACUAUCAAGCACGAGUGCAAGAGUAAUCAGGAGCUGGUGGCGGGUCCGUACGGCACGGGCAGGUUCUCAUGAGCCGAUGAUGGGCUCAGAGCUGUAGACGUGCGGCACGAGGUCGCCAAUGAUCCGCGCGUUCUCCAUCUUGAGCGACACGUAGAGCUGGGCGCCGCCGUGCCACGACCCCGUCACAACGCCGCCGCCUCGUCGCCGCCAAUUCCGCCACCGCCGCAGCCACCAAUCAAACUGCAAACCCUCACCCUAGAACAGUAGCAGGCCCGACGUGUUACCAGCAGUGCCAGAUAACAAAUCGAACGAAAAAAAGAGUAAGGGAGCAUGAAAGAACCUCCUCCAUUGCACGAAGACAUCAUCAGCGUCCAGCUCACCCCUACUCCGGCCCAACCACAAGACGAUGGCCCCCUUCCCCUUUCCCAACUGCAAGCGGACGACCAGGAGGGAAUCAGACGCAAGGAAAGGAAGGAAGCGACAAGGGCGGGAGGAAAAGCACCUUUGUCACGGCGGCGAGGCAACGACAAGCGGGAACAUCGUCAGAUCUGGUGGAAAGGAGCGAAGUGAAGAGAAAGGGGCGAAUGAGAAGCAGGAAGAAGAUGGAUGUACCCCUCGCUCACCUCUUCCACGCCCGAGCAAACCAGCACGUGACACGCGAAGGGUCGACACAUGAAAUCCCCACACUGCCUACGGCGGGUUCUCAAAAUUACAUGCGGAGCCACCGCACGAUCCAGCAUGGAAGCCACACACCGCGGCUAGCCUCACGCACGACGCCAACAGAAGGGCCCCACCAGGCAUCAAGCCCACGCGACAGAGAGGCGUGAGCCAACGGGGAAUGUCAGAAAAGGAAGGAAUUGUAGAGCUGUUCGAAGCCGAAUUUUAUCCAACGGCCCAGCUCAUUCCAGGGGCAGAUCUGACGGCCCUAAUCGCAUCAAGUUCGAGAUCUGACGGUCCAAAUGGCCUGAGCUCUGAGAGAGCCCAUGUUUUGACAGGAAUCUAACUAUGGGAUUUAUUGGGCACGCCAGGCGGCUGGACUGCCGUCUGAUUGUUUGAAAUUCAUAGGGACAUGCACCCGCGCAUUCUUUCACAACCGUUGAGGUGCAGAACAUUAUUGUGCUGGAAAUUUGUUGAAAAAUGAAUGACUUUUUUAAUCCUCUCAGUACGAGACAAUAUACGUGUUUAUUUUACUCCCUCCGUCCCAAAAUUCUUGUCUUGAAUUUGUCUAAAUACGGAUGUAUCAAAUCACGUUUUAGUAUUAGGUACAUCCGUAUCUAGACAAAUCUAAGACAAGAAUUUUGGGACGGAGGGAGUAUAUAAAUACGUCGUCUAGGUGUACUACUACGCCCUUGUACGUGUCAUACGCUGCAUCACUCUGUUCUGUUCUAACUGUUCUUUGCCACUGUUCAUCUUCUUCUUCCUUCCUCUCUCUUGCAAUGUGUACAUACUCUUUUUUUUCACGUCACCUGCGUUCUUCCUUUCAACCGUGUAAUCAUUUUCAUUCCCAAUUUGUUUUUCUUCUGUUUCAUUAAUUUCCUUCACCUGAUUUAAAGUCAUCAGUUCAUGCUAUUCUGUCCUUUCCCAACUUCAUCCCAUCAUUUUCCCAUGAAUUAUUCCAUACACUCCUUUUGCCUACUUUUUAGCGUCCUACGAUACACGCUAUGGUCCGUGAAAUAUCUGUUGUUAGAUUAGCCAAUUCAAUCCUUGUACGACCAAAUCUAAAAUUUUGAAACCGUUUGAUGACUUCCUUGAAAAAGUAAAAUCUUUAACACAUUUCAUUCUUUCAACUGCCCUAACAUUUGAUUUCAUUUUCACUCCUACGGUAUACUUCUAAUUCUCUCAAGUUCUUUUCCAUGAAACUUAUGACACACUAUUUUUCGUUCAGCUUUCUGAAACUUACUGUCACUGCUCGCAUGGACAUAAUAUUUUACUCGUGAGAGCAUCCCACCAGUCACCCCGAGUAACUAAACAUUUAUUUUGGGUUGCUGACUGCACCCACGUCUCAUCUACUUUGUCCCUACUCUGAUCCCCUCAUCAUCUUCUUUUCUACUGUGAUCCUUUAGAUCUACUUUCUUACGGCUCACACUCCACAUUCCUGCCACCGUUUGUCGGAAUUUGACGUCCUCGACCAUCGACAGGUACUGCAGAUAUUGUCUGUUGUUCUUUCCAUUCCACUCCAACUUCCCCCACCCAAGAAAACCCCAAUGGAGCUCGGUCUAGUUCAUGAAAUGGAGGUAAAUUACAACCAACGAUCUUUAAUCUGCUCCAAAUCAACGACCCAAUCUUAUUUCUGACUAAAUUUCCUGUUCAUGCAUUUGUAGUGCCCAGUCUGUGUAAGCACGAACUAGAAUCACUCUCGAGUAGCUAUGGAUUGAUCGGAAUUCAAUUGUUCAGGAGAGUUCAAACGAGAGGGAGGAGAUUACAGCCAAUCCUUACAAGCCAACUAUCCUAUCCAUUCUCGGCCGAAGCUGCCAGCCACCCGUUACAGAACCACUACAGCAGUAUAUAAGUAAUGACUAGCGGGCCCAUUCUGGGCCGCGCAAUCUCGCUGGAACCUGGGCUCUCCUCUUGGGCCUGGCCUGCUCUGCGCUUGCCGGAUUCUCCUGUAGCGGUUCCUGUCUUGCUGUCUCCUGUAGCGAUUCAGCUGUUGUCACUAUAGUAUCUUCAGUGCCGCUGACAAUCCCCCCUGGAGAGAAAAAGGUUUGCCCCCAAGCCGGUGCGCGUGGGAGUUGUUGCUUCAGCAUGUCCUGGUCUUCCCAAGUUGCCAAAGAACUUGGGGAAUGGCUCCACUUGACCAGAACUUGAGCCACCAUCUUGUUCCCUCGUGAAAUCAGUCGACGAUCCAGGAAACACGCCGAAACCUGCAGGUUAGCCGCUGACGAUGGAAGACCUGGCAGUACCUGUUGAUUUGGUUUGAUCUGUCGCUUGAGCAAAGAGACAUGGAACACUGGGUGAACCCUGCAGUUGUCUGGUAACUUCAGUCUGUAAGCCACCGCGCCGAUCCGCGCCAGGAUUUCAAAAGGACCAAAGUACUUGAAAGCUAACUUGUGGUUUGCGCGCGGGGCAAUAGACGACUGAAUAUACGGCUGCAUCUUGAGAAAAACCAUGUCGCCCACCUCAAAACUUCUUUCUGUCCGAUGCUUAUCGGCCUGAACUUUCAUCCGCUGCUGCAUACGUAGUAAAUGCUGCUUGACUGAUUCCAUAACGACAUGUUUGUCACGCAGCCAUUGUUGAGCGUCUGAAUUGCUGAUAGCAUCGACAGGGGAUAAACCAAAGUAACAGGGUGGAUGCCCAUAGACCAGUUCAAACGGGGUACGACCAGUCGAAGAAUGCCAGUUUGAAUUGUACCAUAAUUCACAAAGUGGAAGCCAACUGAACCAACAAUGCGGAUGAGCACUUAUAAAACAUCUGAGAUAUCCCUCCACCUGUUGAUUCACACGCUCCAUUUGCCCGUUAGUUUGAGGAUGUUGACCCGAGCUCAUGCGCAGUUUGAUACCUGUUGUUGCAUACCUCCUUCCAAAACAAGCUGGUGAAAACAGGAUCACGAUCAGAAAAUAGGGAAAUAGGAGUCCAUGGAGACGGUACACACGGUCCAAAAAUGACUCGGCCACUGUGACAGCAGUAUAAGGAUGUUUGAGAGCGAUGAAGUGUCCAUAUUUUGUCAGUUUAUCCACCACUACCAAGAUGCAAUUGUGAUGCUGUGACACUGGCAAACCUUCGAUGAAAUCCAUCGUCAUCAUCUCCCAAGGCUGUGAGGGAAUAGGUAAAGGCUGCAGUAGACCAGGGUAAGGAACUCUGUCAGGUUUGGCAAGCUGACAGAUUUAACACUGCUGUAACACCUCCUUGAUCAUCUGCUUCAUUUUCUUCCAGUGAAACAAUUGAGAAAUUCUGCGAUAAGUUACUGGAAAACCUGAGUGACCCCCAGCCAAGCUAGCGUGCAAACUGUCAGCAAUCUUACGUUGCAGUUGCUCAUUUGAUCCAAUCCACAGCCGCUUCUUGAAACGGAGUAGCCCCCCUUGCAAUGUAAAGUUAGGAACAACUGAAGGAUCAAUUGCUAGUUUCUGUAAGAUUGCUGUAACAUGAGGAUCUGACACAUAACUGUCCAUUAUUUCCUGCACCCAAGCUGGUUGCACUGCUGACAGAGCAUAUCAGUCCCCUGACAGAUGAGGGCGCCUGGAUAAUGCAUCAGCAACUUUGUUUUCUGUUCCUUUCCUGUAAAUGAUUUUGUAAUCGAGACCAAACAACUUGGUUAGAGCUUUUUGCUGCCAGGCUGUAUGCAAAUGUUGUUCUGUUAGACUGACCAAAGCUUUUUGAUCAGUGAUGAUGUUGAAUUCUUUUAGCUGAAGAUAGGAGCGCCACUGUUCAACUGCUAACAGAAUAGCUAAGAAUUCUUUUUCAUAAACCGACAGUGUCUGAUUUUUGGGUCCUAGGGCCUUGCUGACAAAUGCCACAGGGUGUCCCUCCUGAGAUAAAACGGCGCCAAUUCCACAAUUACUGGCAUCUAUCUCUAUAGUAAAAGGCUGCUGAAAAUUGGGCGAGGCCAAAACAGGGGCAGUAACUAGGGCCUGUUUCAGUGUUUGAAAUGUUGUGUCCUCAACACUGGUCCAGACAAACACAGAGCCCUUGUGUAAUAAGUUAGUCAUUGGCUUGACAAUAAUUCCAAAGUGGCGAAUGAACUUCCUAUAGUACCUAGCUAACCCUAGGAAGCUCCUGACCUCUUUCACAGAUUCAGGUUGUGGCCACUUCUCAAUUGUACUUAUUUUCUCAGGAUUAGUGGAAACUCCAUCCUUGCUGAUUAUGUGACCCAAAGUAGAGCAUCUUUUGAGAAGCAAAUUCACACUUGGAGAGUUUUACAUACCAUUUGUCUCUUCUCAAAACUGCCAAAACCCUUUUAACAUGUUCAAGGUGCUGUUUCAAUGUUUUACUAAAAAUCAGUAUGGCAUCAAAGAAUGCAAUGACAAAAUUCCUAAGCAUGUCAGGUUCUUCAGACAAGGAUACAUUAAUAGCUCCUUGAAAGGUGUUUGGAGCUCCUGUCAGACCAAAACCCACAACCAGGAACUCAAAAUGACCACGAUGAGUUUGAAAGGCUAUCUUAUAUUCUUCUCCAGGGGCUAACCUUAUUUGGUGGUAUCUUGCCCUAAGAUCCAACUUUGUAAACCAUUGUGCUCCAUGUAAUUCAUCUAGAAGUUCAUCUAUCACAGGCAUAGGGUAAUUUCCCUUGAUUGUGAGAGCAUUGAGGUGCCUGUAAUCCACCACCAACCUCCAGGUGUGGUCCUUCUUUUUAACUAGGAGAAUGGGAGAGGAAAAUGGAUUGUUACUCCUUCUGAUUACACCAAAGUCUAGCAUCUCUUGUAUCCGCUUUUCCACCUCAUCCUUAAGUUCUGGAGCUAAUCUGUAUGGUCUAUGAGAAAAUGGUCUUGCACCUGGAAUAAGUGGUAUAGAGUGAUCACAAGCUCUCUCCGGUGGUAAUCCAGUGGGAAUAGCAAAUACAUCCUUGUACUCAUCCAGCAGUUCCUGAAUUUCAGGUAAGACAGUUUGAGCAUUUUCAUCAGUAAUGACAGAUAACUCUAUGAUGGUAUAAGAAAAUUCCACAGGUGUUGCCCCUUGGAUUGUUACUGUUUUUCCAUGCAGAGGAAAUGACAUCCAUUGCUGAUCCCAGUCCACAAUCAUUGGACUGUGUUUUGCCAACCAGUCCAUUCCCAAUAUUCCAUCAUAACAACUAAGAGGCAAAAUCUUGAGAUCAUGCUCGAACUGGACACCAUGCACUGACCAAUUGCAUUUUGGAACAAACUGGAACAAUUCAUUAUCUGUCCAUUAGCCACCUUGACCUUCAUUGUUGAACAUGUCUGAACUUCUGAUAGGAGUUUAGCUGAAUCAGAAUCCAGGAAUGAGUGGGUGCUACCAGAGUCCACUAGGAAUGUUUUCUACUGUUCUUGAAUGGUAUCUGUCAACUGAAAUGCUUUACUACGAGCAGAUCUUCUUUCGGCUGCCUCAGAUAUGGCCAUUAAAUUAACUUCAUCAUCCUCGUCUGAUCCCAGUUCCUCUGAAGAUGUGCAUUGGAAGAACUCCACCAUUUCCUGCACUACAUGAAGGGACACUGUUUGUUUGCACUGAUGAUCUCGGCUCCAUUUUUCUCUGCACAUAAAACACAGUCCCUUGGCCUUAUGGUAGGAUCUAAGGGCCUCCCACUUAUCUUCUCCCAUUUUCUGUUUUUGUACCUUUGAACUGUUUCGCCUGUCGUCGGUGGUUUUGCUAGCAACUGUCUUAACCGUGGAUGCUGGGUGUGAAAAUUGUUGCCUCCUAUUCGAUUGAUGAUACUGAGGAAUCAAAUUGGUUAGGGAUUCAUGCAACAAGGCUAAUUCAUAAGCAGCAUCCAAAUCUGUCGGCUGCUGUAGUGCCACCAAAACUCUAACAGAAGGAUUCAGACCAUCGAUGAAUUUGGUGACAUAGUGCACUGAUUCAGGUACCGCUUCGUAUGCAGACAACUGAUCAUAGAGCUCAGCAAAUUGCUCCACAUAAUCCUCCACUGAACCCGUCUGAGUAAUGCUGUGGAAUUUGCGCACCAAUGCCUGAUGCUGGUUGCGCCCAAAUCUGCACUGCAAUAACCUACAGAAAUCCUCCCACGGCGCAUUUGGCACUCUACGUUGAACCGAUUCCAACCAUCGUGCUGCUGGCCCUUCGAACAAGGUAGACGCAAAUUGGACCCAGAGUUUCCAUGGUGUACAACUCAUGCUAAAGUAAUCUUCGCAUCUCGUUUGCCAGAGCGUCGGAUUUCAGCCAUCGAAGCGGGGCAGGUCGAUGCGAGGGCCAAAACCAUAUGAAUCAGAAUUUUCUCGUUGCAAAUCUGCCAAGCACGAACUGAGAACGGAGCUCUGUUCAGAUCUCGUACCUCUGGCCGGUGGCGGAACGUAAGGAACAUGAUCCUUUCCCUUGGCUGAAGUAGCUCUGUGGCUGCUCUCCGGUGCCGCGUCGGGAUUGCUGUACGCACCUUGCUUUGCCUGCGGGGGCCGUCCUGUAGGAGUCGUCGUCGGAGCGGCAGGCGGUCGAUCCAGGCCGGCGCGGAGCUCGUCCAUGUCCACACCGAUCGACAUCUUGAGGUCGUCGAUGCGCGUCGUCAGAUUCCCCAUGAUGGAGCGCAUCGACUUCGCUGUCUCUUCAUCCUGUCGCUUGAAGCGGGCAUCGAGGGAUUCCGCCAGGUCGGCCUUGAGGAAUUCGUACACCGCCUUCAUCGCCGGCGACAAGCUCUCCAUCACUUCCCAACGGUGUCUUGCUGCAAAUCUCGUCACGUGCGGGUGGUGGAGGGGAACUGGCGGCGCCAGGAUCUAGGGCUCUGAUUCCAAUUGUAAGCACGAACUAGAAUCUCUCUCGAGUAGCUACGGAUUGAUCGGAAUUCAAUUGUUCAGGAGAGUUCAAACGAGAGGGAGGAGAUUACAGCCAAUCCUUACAAGCCAACUAUCCUAUCCAUUCUUGGCCGAAGCCGCCAGCCACCCGUUACAGAACCACUACAGCAGUAUAUAAGUAAUGACUAGCGGGCCCAUUCCGGGCCGCGCAAUCUCGCUGGAACCUGCGCUCUCCUCUUGGGCCUGGCCUGCUCUGCGCUUGCCGGAUUCUCCUAUAGCGAUUCCUGUCUUGCCGUCUCCUAUAGCGAUUCAGCUGUUGUCACUGUAGUAUCUUCAGUGCCGCUGACAGUCUGUUACAACCUUAGGGGCUUGUGUGACAGUGACCACGUUUUUAGGAACAAGUGCUUCUCCUUGUUUUUUCCAGGCUACAAAGAAAGAAUGACAAGUUUCUAAUUAUUGUUCAAACCUUGUUCAUGACAUUUUUUACUUAACUUUUACUUGAUUAUAGAUUAUUGCUAGGCAUGUGGCUCAACAAGAUCUCCAAUUCAAUUACUGUUCACUCAACAAGAUGUUCACCGGACAAAAUAUAGGUCCAACUUAUGUCCAAUUCAACUUGUUGUUCCUCAUGAUUAUAGAAUUUCCCUAAUUAGGCCAACACACAUUUCCUUUCAACCCAUAAUCAUAUUUUACCAACUGCUACAUCAGUACAUACUGGUACAUUCAUUUUGUACUGCAUACCAAUUGCAUACUAACAAUUGGCCCAUUUCUAAAUUUUGGCUACAUAUCCUUCUUCCAAAUAUACUCUUUGAAGAGAAUAUUUCACUCAGAUUCACUAUACUUUCUCUACGUAUAUUGACUUCAUAUUCUUCUUUAUUUGUUUUCAUGUUUCCCAAGAAAAGAUUUCUUAAAAAGAUUAACAUUACAAAAUGUGCUUUCACUCAAGUUACAUAUCUGCUUCACACAGAACAAGGGUUCACUUUUGUUGUGGAUGUCAUCAACUCUCGAGAGAAAACCUAUUUUACUGGCAAGUCUUGGAAAUUAUUCUUCAAACUAUACCACCCCAAGUUGAUAGAGAAAUGAGACUCACUUUAGCUGGCGACGCUGAUCGAUCCGUAUCUGUCAACCUGCCGAGUCCUCCAAUUGCUAUCCAUGCACUACAAAAAAGACACAUCCGUGACAUAAUGACCCAGGCAAAAAAAUUCUGUCAUGAAUGUGACACUUCCAUGACCAUAAUUGUGACAAAAAUAUGUACAUCAUAGAUGUGGUGUGUUCCUACUUAUAUUACCAAAAAUUAUGAUAGAAAGUGGACUUUUUGUCCUGGGCGAGCAGGAGGCGCACUUGCAUGACAAUCUUUGGGCUGUCCAUGGCGUAAAAAGUCAUGGUAGAAGUGAGGGCAAGCAAAUUUUCAGGGAUUUCCCAUUAUACGGUAGGCAAUCGGACCUGAGCGAUGAAGUGGUUUGCACGUUUAUCUUGUACGCGCGCAUGUGCGAGCCCUUCGCUACCUGAACCUAAGCGAGUCGUUCGCUACUGAACCCGAGCGAUUGAUCCCUCGAACUACACUAAACCCGAGCGAUCCCUCCCUUACUGAACACGAGUGAUCAAUCCCUCUCACUACUACUGAACCCGAGCGAUUCCUUCACUGCUUACUGAACCCGAGCGAUCCCUCGUACUACGUACUGAACCUGAGUGAUCCCUUUGCUUCUUAGUGAAUCCGAUCAAUGCGAGCGAGACUCAUGCGCGUACGUAGUUUGUUGGCCCGAUCGAUCGAUGUGGUGCAUCAAGAUCUCAUGCGAGAUGUGAGUUGACCUAGCCAAUUGGUUGCCUCUUGAUGAAUAGUCCCUGUUACUGCCACGUGCGUGAUACGUAGAUCGAUUCGAGACUAGCUACCGGUUGCAUAGAUCCAACCCCUUGCACGAGACAUGUUGACCUAGCCGGUUGGUUGGUUGUGGAUGAACAUUUCCCAUUGCUGACGCCCGCUCAUACGCCCCGCCCAGCCGAUGUGGGUUGGAUGAACAAUACCCUGGCCGUGUAGGCGGUUGGCGCUGGAUGAAUAGGACCCUGAUCGAUUGAAGGGGCCGUUUUGCAGUACACCACACACCAGCCUAUGCGUGUUGGAUGAACAAGACCUAGUGGAAGGCCAGGUCAUCGGCGGUUGGCGCUGAAUGAACAGGACCCCGAUCGAUCAAGGAGGCUGUGUCGCGGUACGACACACCCCAGCCGAUUGGGGGUGGAUGAAUAAGACCCCGUGGAGGCCGUAGGCGGUGGAUGAACAAUAGUCCGUGGAGCCUUAGGAAGUUCUUAGUGCAAUAGCUUUCCCCCUUGUGUUUUGAAGAUCAUUGUCAGAAACAAGCAUGGUCUGAUUUGUUUGCUAGUGCACAUAAAGAGCUAUUGCACUAAAGAAUGUUAUGUUCGGUGUCUUCAAUGAAGAUUAUCUGCUUGGCAGAAAAGAAAGAGCUACAUUUCGAGAAGAAAUGGAAGUGAGAAGAUGGUAUUGAAGGAAUUGACCCCUUUAAAUUUACUGCUGACGUAAAGCAAUAUUCGUUCGGUUUGUCCGAAGAAGAAUGACUGCAGUCAAGAAUAUUGAAGGCAAAGUGAAGACGUAGCAUUUCUUUCAUCAUUCUUCUUUCUCUUAUUUAAGUUAUAAGACCUCUGUAAUAUUAAGAGGGAGAGAGAUAUCUGCUUCAACAGGUAGCAUUGUCUACUCAGAAGACCUUGUUUUCAGUCUAGAUUUUUCCAUAACCGACUCAAAUGGCUGAUGCAUAGGAAGAGUAGUUCAACAUACAAACUUGUCGACAAAUGGAAUACGUAAUAAAAAAAGGAUGGCAGAACAUAAUUCACAUAUAUCAUGCCUGGCUACACAGGAUUACAGUCAUUCUACUGGAGUUACCUUAAUAGGAUUAAGCUUGUGGUAAUUCCUACUUUAGAACAUGAUAUUCACUGCUUCAGUGUUAGGAAUAGCACCUCGAAAUAAUGCAUGAUUUUCCUAUGUUUCCAGUGAAGGCAAACAAUCCAAGUGGUAGAUCAUAUAAUUGUCUUCGUUAUUGGUAGUUUCCUCAAUUUAGAUAGCAAAAUGAUAUCAGUAUAAGAACCUAUUCCCUUCACUGCCUAGGCAUACUAUGCUUUACACAAUUUCCCACAAUUAUUUGUAAUGUUAUUCACGUCAUGUAUAGACUUGUGAUAAGCAUGUAGUAUUGCUUCAUCCAAAUGUACAGAUCAGUUGCAGUGCAUAAUGAUGAUGAAUUCCUGGAGCUAUGCUUCUUCAAAAAAUAUCAGAAAAUUGUAGCAAGCUUUGCAAGAGCUAUAUGAAUUCAAUUGUCCAUCUUGAUUUUGAGGGGAUAUUAACAUCGAUGACUGUAGUUACAAUUUAUAGAAUUCAUAUAGCUCUUUGUUUAGAAUUCAACAUGUUUUUAUAUUCUUACAGGGUGUUUGUAGUUACCAUUUUAUCUUGGGUCAAAUUAACCAUCAGUAUUUUCCACAAACGUUCGCGUCAUUCUGCCUACAUUGAAUAUGCGUGUGCAUGCUUGUAAUUAAACUACCUCUCAUGGUAUUUGCUCGAUAGACUCAGGUCCUUAAGUAAAUAUAAUGCAUGGAUCCUGCUUCUAUAAACUAGAAUUACACACUUAUCGCUAGGUUUAAAUAUACAUUUAAACGUAGUUUUUCUUAGUUGGCAUAAUUUAUAUUACAACAACAUAGUUUCAUAGCAUUAACAGUGCCAGUACACGUGAGGCUGUAGAAAAUAUUUCAUUAUUCUAUAAUAUUGUUGUUACUAUUACAUAUUAUUUCCUUUUCUUCACUAAAUUUUUAUGAAAUAGCUUCCGUAUAUGUAUCCUCCAUAACAAAUCGUCUCUAUGACUUACAAAACCAUAUUAAAUCAAGAAGCGUAAUAACUAGAUAAAUAAUAUUUAUAUAGGACAAAUUUUUUUCUUUUGGAUGUUUCAGAACAAAAGAUGGUGUUUCCCUACAAGCACGCGAACAAAAGGAAUUUAUCACCAAUAGUAUUACUCAAUAGUAUUACUCAGGAUAAAACAAAGGAAAUGGAUGUAUAGCAAAUGUAUCCUUUAUUUUUCAAACUAUUUACAGGAAUACAAUGCUGGAGUUGGUCUUCAUCGACAAAAACAAUUGGAUGGAGUGCACUGAAAUCGCAUCAGCUAUGCAAAGACUGACAAUUAAACCAUCAAAGAAUGUGAGAGUAUGAUGAAAGCACCAUAGCUUUUCUCAUCUUUUGUCCAUUCCUCCUAUUGGAUAAUAGAGCAUACUCCAAAGAUGGAUUAAUUUAUCUAAAGGCCAACUAACAUUGGACAUCAUGAAAAGCAAUGCCUAUCGCUGUUCUUUGCUUUUCUACACACUGCUCAUGUUUUAGCUAGCAUGAGUUAUGUUUUAGUUCUAAUAUUUGAAAAUAAAUCAAAUUUACGCUCACUUUCAAACUUCAGCGAUCCUCCUCAAGUUUCACUUACAAAAAGAUAACUAACAUUUUUGAAAUGAUUCUCAAUAUAUUAAUUUGUUCACCAUAUAUCAUUAACCAUUUCUAGAGUUUCCUAUGACUAUAAUUAAAAUGCACAUGAAAAAGUUAAAUGAAAAAAUAAUUUAAUCAAUUAUCAAGUGUGUCAGCUCCAUUUUCAGUAGCAUAUGACUUCAUUUAUUUUCAUAAAAAUUGUCUAUUAAGAAUUAAUUCCCACUCAUAUAGCUAAUAUCACAUAAUAUAAUUGACAUCAUUUUACUAAGAGUUUUGGAGUACUAAAUAUGGAUAAAACAAAUUAAAACAUAAUGAAAACAUGUUGCACCACUUCAUGCUUAUUUAAAAUAGCACAUAACACAAAUACCGAAAAAGGGUUUCCCCCCGCUUUAUAUUAUAAAGCAACAGACACCGAUCACAGGGUAACUGCCGGGGCGAAUGGCACAACAAGCCCAAAAGGGAAAAAGAAGAAGAAAUAAAAGCCAACAACGGCAGCUCGGCAAGCACAGAUGACCCGCCACCGCUGCGCCCUCCAUCUUCGUCCCACCACACGCCAUGGCACCGGACCGCCGCAUACCAAGCAGCACCUCCAAGAAGGAAUGCGACGCCAACGAUGCUGCUGCCCGGACAUGUCCUAGGGUUUCCCCCGGCAUACAGAGGGGAGCAGGGGAUGGGUAGCGCCGACGCCCUUCAGGAAGGAAUGAUGGCACCCUCAGGUGUCACCGCGUCGGAGCCGGAUGAACCGGCAGAGAUUUCUCCUGCAUCCCCAAGCACCGCUACCCACUCGAACCGGGGCCAUCCAACCACCUUGCCACCCGCAAGCACGCGCCACCACGGUCUUGGACACAACCACGCGGCCCCGCUGCGAACACCACCACGAGGCCAAGGAGACCGGAAAGAAGCGCCAAGCAACAGGAGGAACCACACCGAAGCCAAGCGGGAGGGAACCACCUCCCCCGCCGACGUGCGGGAGGACCGAGCCCCCGACGACGUCGUGGUCACCGUCCGGACGUGGCAGCAGGGCACACCAGGUCACCCCUGCCCCGGCCAGGCCUGCAAUGGCCCCACAAAGCCCCGCCAUCCAUGCUGCAGCAAGCCGGCACCUGCGCCGCCCGCUCCCAGCCGCCAACGCUGCUCUCCUGCCUCUUGGAGGCCACGCUGCCGGCCCGUCCCGUCGCCGGCCCGCCCAGACCCAGAUGGGGCCCGAAGGGCCUAGAUCUGGGCCGAGCGGGCUGGUUCAAGCCGCGCCGCAGCGCCACCCCGCCGCCAACGGUGACGCCAUCGCCUAGUCGUCCACCCACGUCGCGCCAGGAUCUCCGCCGCCACAUCGGACCGCCACCGCUGAAGAGCACCUCCCGGUGCACACCGCCCCGCGCCGGGGAGCACCGAGAGGGGAAGGGCUGGAGGCCGCCGCCGCCAGCGACCCAGGGGCCAGGCCCGACCGCGGGUGCCAGCGACGGCGGCGGGGAGGUAGGGAAGGGGGCUCUAGAGGAGGGGCCACCGGAGCGCAGCCGGUCGCCCGCGGGGACGACGCGGUCGCGCGAGAGAAGGGGGACCUAUAUACGUACUUGCUCGUGUCUCCACCUUCCAUAACACAAAUAUAACAAGGAAAAUUGUUUCCAUCCAGCUAAUCUAACCAUUGACCUAACCUACCAAAUGAACCAUACUAGAUUGGCGCAAAAAGGACCAGCCGGUUCAGUUCAAACCGUGCGAAAUGAGACCAAAGGGCCGACCGUUGGACACAGUGGCGCCGCAGUAGCACGUCGGAGCUCAUUCGAACAUGCGGGAGCAUGUAAGGCGAGGAAAUGCGGGGUGUGCGGCUAGAUGGGCCACAAUAAACUCCAAUUGUGAGAUCCCAAUGUAGUUUUCUCUUCUAAUUAUACAUACCCAUAUCUUAUAAUUUUUUCAGGGAUUAUAUUUUGUGUGGAUUCAAAUGAUAAAAUAAUUGGCUACUCUCUGCCCAAGCAUUUAACUUUUGCAAGGAAGUUGAUGGUGGAUAAUAUUCUUAGAGAACUUGACACACACCACCACCUACAAAGGGUACAUAAAGACUUAGUGUUUCAGUAAAAAGAUGAGUACAUAUUUUCGUAUGUGUUUACUCCAUCCAACUACCUAUAUUUCAUCAAUUGGCCAAGCUAAUUUGACCACAAAAAAAUAUCUGUUUUCAAGCAUCACAAUGACAAGAUAUAUAAAUUGAAAAAACAUUUGGAAAUAGAAAUCUGUUGAAAUAAUUUAUGAUAAUAUUAAUGGAGGGCUUAAAGAGGUUGAUAUGUGUGUAUUUAUUUAUUAUUCUUUAACCAUUCAAGUAUAUUUAUAUGGAGUUAGAGACUCAUUAUUAAACUUUGUAAAGUCCUAGCCGGCGCAUCGAGCGGGCCACUUUGCUAGUUAUUAACUAAUGACAGUAUAAAAACAUGUACCUCCAAGGUAAAUAUCAUUUCGAACUCUUGGGGACCUUAAAAAUUGCUAUCACAAUCUUGAUAAUCAAUCAAACAUAAAAACUUGAUCGAACGAAUCAAGAGAACAAACGGAGGAGGAGGUGCCCACUCUUGACCUUUCCUCUUGUCUUCAUAAUUUGUUUUGCAGUUUAACCAAAUUAAAAUGACAUCAGCGCCUUGGCAUUUUGGUGACACUGUACAAAAAAAUUAACUUAUCUCAUGAAAGUGAGGUAUGUAAUCUAUAAGCAUUAACAGUGCAAAAAUCUGAAGGUAGUAACAAGUUUCAUCGUUGGUAUACUGGCUAUGCAAGAGCAUUAGAAUGCCUUAGCUGAAAAAUCUUUAAUACAUCCACAAUCAACAGCUAACCCUGAAAUAAUCCAGUGACAUUAAAUGGCAUUGCUUAAAUUUAUCGGUGGCAUUAGACUAAGUGCAGCAUUAGUUAAAUGUGGCAUCACUUUAGCAGUAGCAUUGCUUGACUUGACUGCUGGCGUUAUACUAACAGCAAAAAAGUGGCAAUAAGAGCAUGGGAGGCCCAUUCGAACAGUGGGCACACCAGUACGAUGUACCUCCACGGACGCAGAGUGGUGAGGAAGGUAUAGUUGCCCAGAGCAACAAAUAUCCAGGCAGCAUAUGUGAUUACUUCCCAUUUUUGUUCUCUUUAGCCACCUUUUUCCUAUGUGAGGACAACAAACCGAUCGGCCUGGUCAUUCUCUAUUGCAUUGUCAUGCCUUUCUACCCUUCUUCAACCAAGAGACACGAGACUUGUUCCUUAGCUACUGAUUUCCCCUUUUCAACCUACAUGCGGGUUCGAUGCCUACUCUCUUGGACAAUACAGUUGUUGGUGUGAAAACCGGCGGAUCUCGGGUAGGGGGUCCCGAUCUGUGCGUCAAGGCUGAUGAUAACAGGAAGCAAGGGACAUAGAUGUUUACCCAGGUACAAGAGUAGAUCUACCACGAGAUCAUAGAGGCUAAACCCUAAGAGCUAGCCUAUGAUGGUAUGAUUGUAAUUGUGAUCGGCCUUCUAAGGACCAACCUCUCUGGUUUAUAUAGACACCGGAGAGGGCUAGGGUUUACAUGGAGUCGGUUACAAGGAAGGAAACACAAUAUCCGAAUCGCCAAGCUUGCCUUCCACGCCAAGGAGAGUCCCAUCCGGACACGGGCCGAAGUCUUGAGUCUUGUAUCUUCACGCUUCAAUAGUCCGGACGUUCUACACACUCCGGCUGUCCGGAUACCCCCUAAUCCAGGACUCCCUCAAUAGCCCCUGAACCAGGCUUCAAUGACGAUGAGUCCGGCGCGCAGCAUUGUCUUCGGCAUUGCAAGGCAGUUUCCUUCUUCGAAUACUCCAAAGUACCUGUUACAAUGAAUAAUGUCCGACCUCCAAUCAAUGUUGUGCUCCUCGGCUUCAGUGCCUCAAUAAUGGACACCUCCACGUGUUGAGCGAAUGCGAGGAGCCAAGGCGCUUUUGCAUUUGACACCCUCGAUCCUCCGAGCUGACCGCCUAUUUGAAGGGACAGGGAUUCUCAGAUCCAAACCUCACUCUCUUCCCUUGAGCUAGCAUCCCGUAGAGCGCUCCGCAAAAAACCAUUCCAACAUGGCCAGCCGUCGCAGCUCUUCUGCUUGCCCUCCUUGCUCUAAGUCGGGAGAUUGGGGAGAGUGUUCGGUUCCUCAUAGCCGUUUGAUAAAGUUACAAACCCAAGGGUUUCUCCCACCGGCGUUCAUGGUCUCUGUUCGAGCCGGAAUAGCCACUUAUGACGGAGGGGAACAAGCGGAGGGAUCUCCAAGCCCAUCCCCAGAGGAGCGCGUAUGCCUCAUCCAGCAUCUGCUAAGGGGCGUCGGGUUUCCUAUCCACCCGUUUCUUCGCGGGCUCCUGGAGUUCUAUGGCCUCCAGUUGCACAAUCUUACCCCUGCCUCUAUUCUGCACAUAGCGGGGUAUGUCGCACUUUGCGAGCUGUUUUAGGCUGCGAACCUCACUUUAGAUUAUGGAGGAAGCUGUUCUGCCUUGUUCCCCGCACCCAGGGAGAGUCCCUAUAUCAAGUGGGCAGGGCUGAAGUAUGGCGCAUUGCCGAAACCGGACACCUAUCCGGCACUCCCAAGAAGGCACCAGAAGACUGGCCUUUAGAGUGGUUUUAUAUUGAUGACGUUCCCCUUCCGGAUCCAGUCCGGACUGGUCUCCCCAAGUUCAGCAACGCCCCGCCGAGGGCACGCCUAAGUUGGCGCCCCCACGGCCCUCAAGAAGAGGAUACAAGGGAAAUACAUUUCCUGAUGAGCAGGAUAAAGUUGAUGGCCAAAUCCGGACUGACAAUAGUCGAGGUUAUGGCGAUAUGCAUAAGGCGAGGAGUGCAACCGCUUCAAUAUCAGGGGAAGCCCAUGUGGCACUUCAACGGGGAAGACGACGCCACCUGUCGGUGUCAAAACCGGCGGAUCUCGGGUAGGGGGUCCCGAACUAUGCGUCUAGGCGGAUGGUAACAGGAGACAAGGGACACGAUGUUUUUACCCAGGUUCGGGCCCUCUCGGUGGAGGUAAAACCCUACUCCUGCUUGAUUAAUAUUGAUGAUAUGGGUAGUACAAGAGUAGAUCUACCACGAGAUCAAGGAGGCUAAACCCUAGAAGCUAGCCUAUGGUAUGAUUGUUGUUCGUCCUACGGACUAAAACCCUCCAGUUUAUAUAGACACCGGAGAGAGCUAGGGUUACACAGAGUCGGUUACAAUGGUAGGAGAUCUACAUAUCCGUAUCGCCAAGCUUGCCUUCCACGCCAAGGAAAGUCCCAUCCGGACACGGGACGAAGUCUUCAAUCUUGUAUCUUCAUAGUCUUGGAGUCCGGCCAAUGAUGAUAGUCCGGCUAUCCGGACACCCCCUAGUCCAGGACUCCCUCAGUAGCCCCCGAACCAGGCUUCAAUGGAGACGACUUCGGCGCGCAUAUUGUCUUCGGCAUUGCAAGGCGGGAUCUCCUCCAAAUUCCAUGUGCUUGCCGAAUGGUGUCCGGCUUCUUAUAAAUGCUGCGCUUCUUGGCUUCCACGUCCAAUAAUGGCCCUCCUCCACGUGUCGUACGAAUGCGAAAAGGCAGGGUAUUUUUACACUUUACCCCCUAGCUGCGUGAAAAGCUGCCUAUAAAGAGAGGCGAGGAUUUAGAUCCGAAUCACACCAUCCUCCUUCCGCGAGUAUUCAUCGAAGCGCCUCUGACAAAAAUCCACUCCAUCAUGGACAGUCGACGCGGCUCCUCCUCUCGCGCUCCCAGCCCUCAGCCAGGAGAUUGGGGGAGAUGUUCAGUCCCGCAUAGCGAGCUAGUGACUCUUCAAGCAGAGGGAUUUUUUCCCCCAGCCUUUAUGGUUCUGGUUCGAGCCGGACUUGCCACCUACAAGGGCGGAAAGCAGGCGGAGAGCGUCCCCAAUCCCUCCAAAGGAGAGCGGGUAUGCUUCGUCCCUUAUCUAAUAAGGGGCCUCGGAUUUCCCAUACAUCCGUUUCUCCGGGGGCUCCUGGAGUUCUAUGGGCUCCAGCUUCACCACCUUACGCCUGCCUCCAUCCUGCACAUCGCGGGCUUCGUGGCCCUUUGUGAGCUGUUCUUGGGCGUCGAGGCCCAUUUUGCGCUGUGGAAGAGAUUGUUUUGCCUCGUACUCCGUUCUAAUGAGGGGUCAAUAUAUCAAGUGGGCGGAGCCAAAAUAUGGCGCAUCGCCGGGACCGGAUAUCUAUCCGGAACCUCGAAGAAGGCGUCCGAAGACUGGCCUUCAGAAUGGUUUUAUAUGGAGGACGCCCCACUACCGGACCCAGUACGGAUCGGCCUCCCGGAGUUCAGCAACGCUCCUCUAAAGAAACGCCUGAGUUGGCGCCCGCGGAGCCCUCAACGGGAGAAUGAUAGGGACGUCCAAUAUCUGAUGGGCCGAAUAAGGUUAUUGGCUCAUUCCGGAUUGACCAUGAUUGGGGUCAUGGACACAUGCAUUAUGCGGGGGGUGCAGCCGCUCCAGUAUAGGGGCCACCCCAUGUGGGAUUUCAACAGGGAGGAUGAUGCCACCCGCCAUGGCCGCAAGGGGACGGGAUCAGUCGCCGAUCUGGUGAAGAUACUGUCCGGCCUGUACAAAGGGGAGAAGGAGGACUUCCUCCGUGCUAGUCCAUUGAAUGGAUUUUCCAUGAAUAACCCUCGGAGCUGGGUAAGCGGACGUUUAUCUAUCCGAUCCAUAUUCCCAAAGUUAAGUGUCUCACUUUGUGAUUUCGACGCAGGAACUGCGCCGGGCCGUAGAGGACAUACACAGCCCGACUCCACAGCCCGAGGAUCCGGAACGAUCCCUUGAUCUGGCCUCCGAAGAGGAUCCGGACAUAAAGGUGGAGCUGAUCGAUGGGGUGUUCCACCAACUUAGCAUUGACAAUGCUUUGGUCGCCAUUACGGCCGACUACCCCGGAAUAUCUCCGGUUUCCCAGGUAACUGUGACCGGAGUCCUGAUAACAUUACUCAUCCAUGCUUAUCUCUAACCACUGUAUACCAACGGUGUUCCGCAGGAGGUGCCUUCGAGGCGGGAAGCCGAACCCGCGGCGGCUGGCCAACAAGGGGCAACUCGGGCCAGCAGGCGGAAAAGAAGUGCGGCGCGAAUCGAAACAUCGCCGCAACAGUAUGGCGUGCCACCAUGUUUCCAGGAAAGAUUCAUGGAAGGCCUAUUAACACUCGUGGUUUUUUCAGGAGAAAGAGCGCUCGCCGGACUGUGUCCGGAGAGAUUGCCAAUCAAGCCUCCGCCGGCCAGGCUCCAACGCCAGGUCCGGAGGGGGAGGCGAACGCAAGGCGCGCGUCGGGUGCUCCUCCAAUGGAGGAUACCGACAGGUUGUCCACCACCCAAUCUGAGGUGGAGAGCGCCAUGAAUCACCGGCGCCGCCGGACAGUUCUUCGCGACACCUGCUUCUCCCCGGAGGCGUUAAAUGCCUUUAAUUCGGGAGAAGCGCACCUCCGUGCUGCUCGAGAUGGUCUAGCCAAAGCCACGGAGCAGUAUUUGAAAGACAUACGGGUGAGGAAUUUUGACAGUUAUAUAUGCCAGUAGCCCCCGAGACUUAAAAUAGUUAGAAUAACUGAUUUAAGGAUCAUUUGUUAUUUAGGAUCUUACAGAGAAGAAUACCCACCUGUCCCAGGAGCUUCAAGAGUGCAAGGCCCAACUUGAGGCCGCACUAGCCGCCACAGGGGGAGCCACAGAGACUCCCUCUGGUAAGAUAUACUUCGAAAGAUAAGUAGUUUGUGAAGUGUGGCGUGUGUAUAAGUCUGACAAUAAUAUUGCAGAUGGCGCCGGACUAGAUCCGGACAAGCAACAGCUACUACGCCAGCUGAAGGCCGGCAAGAAGGUGCUUACAAGGGUGCAGCAAGAGAGGAAUAAGCUCCAGGAUGCCAACACCCAGCUGGGCGAGGAACUAAAAGAUGUUCGGGCCCAGCUAUCUGACUCCAUGAAGGAGAAUCGGCGGCUUCGUCACGGCAUUUAUAGUAAGUGCUUGAGCAAACUUUUGAAAAAAAGAGUUCGGCGAGGAAGUCGAUUGACAGAAAUAUGUCUGUAGGCGUGCUCAUGGGUCGUCCUGCGGAGGAAAUGCCCGGUUCAACUGGUGACCUACUUCCCGAGCUGCUGCAACUGCACGAACUAGUUCGGCAGGUGAUGAGCGGCGUCGCCCAGGCCUUGUGGCCAUCCGUGUCCCUACCCGAAGGUCUUGGAGAGCUUGCGGAGAAGCUUCAGGGAGCACGGCGGCGCUUCUGGUUGUGGAAGAUAUCGGCCUGCCAUCAAGGCGCCAGGGAGGCCUGGGCCAUGGUGAAGACACGGUAUGCAAAGGCUGACCCAAACCACAUGGCCGAGGUCAGACCUGUGGGGCCCGAUGGGAAGGAGAUCCCUGUGAGCUUAGUGUACGACCAAGUAGAGUUGGCCGCAAAGUAUUCACAGCGGGACUGUAAACUAGACAGUUUAUUAGAUGGUAUCGAAGAGGAAUACCAUCAGUCAGCUUGACUGUGUAAUUUAAAAUGACAUGAAAAAUGCCUUCUAGCCGGAUUGUAGAUCGUUUGUCAUUGCGGACCUUUUCGCUUCAACCUCGGGACCCGAUAGUCCGGAGUGUGUCCGAAUACCCUCACGGUUAUUAAAAAACCGGGGCAUGCAUGGAGACCAGGCGUAGGGGUCAUUAGUGCUUUAUCAGACAAGUGCCCAACUAGUUAUGUUAUAUUACAUGGUUAGUAAGAAACAUCUUCCAGGGAGAAUAGUUCCAUUAGGGGUUCCUUUCCCUGGGAGGCAUGCUCUAAAGUGCAUGUCCGGACUGCGAAAAAAGCAGAAAAGCAUCUGGGGGCAGAUAAAUAAAUAGUUAAGAAAUCAUCUUUCAAUUCACCGACCGAAUAUUCCCUUAAGAACGCUAGCUUUCGGCUUCACCCAGUCUGAGGUACACAUCCGGCUGACCCGGCAGUAACAAUCGCAGAGGUGCUCCCUUUACCUCCUAGCCGAACAAUCGGGAACGUAGGGGUAAGCACAGGAGCCAGGCAACCCAGCUUGGCCAAAACUUAAGUCAUAUCGAUGCAUAUAAUGGUGAAUAAAAGGUACAUGCGGAAGUGUAACACAUGUAUUGGGUAUAAAUCCCGUAUAAAUAAGCUUUUGUUAAAGAAGCCCCCAGGUAUAAUGAGUGCGAAUAGCACGUCAAGUGUGUGCGAACAAUGCGCAGGCGAGCCACCGAAGGCCCGUGAGAGAAGAAGAAAAAAAGAAAAAGGGGGGAGAAAAAUAAUAGAUAGUUAAAGUAUAAAAUGUAGACGGGGGAGGGAGACGAACUCAGAAUCCGGCGCUAGGUGUAGAAUCUACGGAGACGGGCUGCAUUCCAUGGAUUUGGCUCGAGUCGGUUGUCCGAUGCGUUUCGCAGACGGUAUGCUCCGCCGGUCAGGACUUGGUCAAUGAUGAAGGGACCUUCCCAUUUGGGCUUGAGCUUGUCCUUUUUCUUGUCCGGCAGGCGUAGAACUAGUUCACCAACAUUGUAAGUUUUGGCCCGUACUUCUCUGCUUUGAUAUCUUCGAGCCUGCUGUUGAUAGAAUGCGGAACGAUCUUUUGCCACGUCACACUCCUCCUCUAAGGCGUCCAAACUGACCUGUCGAUCCAGCUCGUCUUCUCUUUCUUCGUACAUGCGCACGCGAGGUGAGUCAUGAAUUAUGUCGCAGGGCAAAACUUCCUCUGUGCCGUAUACCAUGAAAAAUGGUGUGAAUCCGGUAGUCCGGUUUGGCGUGGUCCGCAGCCCCCAGAGUACGGAGUCGAGCUCCUCUACCCAGUGCGUGUUGGAUUCCUUAAGGGACCACACUAGUCUGGGUUUGAUGUCGCUCAUGAUUAGACCGUUUGCUCGUUCGACUUGACCGUUAGUUUGAGGGUGAUAGACUGAAGCGUAGUCGAGCUUGAUGCCCAUGUUUUUGCACCAGAGUUUGACCUCGUCGGCCGUGAAGUUCAUGCCGUUAUCAGUGAUGAUGCUAUGGGGGACGCCAUAACGGUGUACUACCCCUGAUAUGAAGUCUAUCACGGUUCCGGAUUAUGCCGUCUUAACUGGCUUGGCCUCUAUCCAUUUGGUGAAUUUAUCCACCAUGACCAAUAGGUAUUUUUGCUUGUGGGUUCCUCCUUUAAGGGGUCCAACCAUGUCAAGCCCCCAGACCGCGAACGGCCAGGUGAUGGGUAUAGUUUUCAGGGCGGUGGGAGGCAUGUGGCUUUGAUUAGCAAAGAGCUGGCAACCGACGCAUCGUUGGACUAAAUCCUGAGCGUCUGCCCGGGCCGUUGGCCAAUAAAAUCCUGUACGGUAGGCCUUGCUUAUAAGGGCCCGGGCUACGACGUGGUGCCCACCGAGUCCGACAUGAAUUUUCGCCAGAAGAUUUCGCCCUUCCUCUUCGGAGAUACACCUUUGAAGGACUCCGGUUAUGCUUUUCUUAUAGAGCUCUCCCUCAUGGACCUUAUAGGCUUUAGAUCGCCGUACUAUGCAGUGGGCCUCGUUUUGGUCCUCGGGAAGUUCCUGCCUAGUUAAGUAAGCUAGGAACGGCUUGGUCCACGGGGCAAUGACUGCCAUUAUUUCGUGGGAUGAAGUUGUUAUUUCAUUGGCAGAACCACCAAUUGUGUCAGAAUGUGUGGUGUCCGGCGGUGCGGUUGGGUCCGGAUUGUUGUUUCCGGACUCCCCUUCCCAUAGUACGGAUGGCUUGAAAAGCCGUUCCAGAAAGAUGUUGGGAGGGACGGCAUCGCGCUUUGCAUCGAUGUGUGCCAAUACGUCCGCCGCUUGAUUAUUAUCCCGGGCUAUAUGGUGAAAUUCGAGCCCUUCAAACCGAGCUGACAUUUUUAGAACGGCGUUGCCGUAAGCUGCCAUUUUCGGAUCCUUGGCGUCGAAGUCUCCAUUUAUUUGAGAUAUCGCGAGGUUCGAAUCCCGCCGCACCUCUAGGCGUUUAAUGCCCAUGGAGACCACCAUCCGGAGGACAUGUAGAAGGGCCUCGUAUUCGGCUGCGUUGUUGGAGUCCGUGUACAUUAUCUGGAGUACGUAUUGGACCGUGUCUCCGGUUGGGGACGUCAGGACGAUGCCAGCCCCCAGGUGUAACAUCCCAAAUUUUCAAUUUGGAAUGUUAUACAUAGAUCAUCAUUGCAUAUCAUAUUUUUGUUGCAUUGUUGGCUCGAUCCUAGAAAUUCUACGCAACUCAAUGACCCACAGAGAGAGUUGGGGAUUUCGUUAUUUUCCUUAUUUGAGUAUUUCUCAAAUUUUGAAAAUAGGAUCAUUGAUUUUAUUUAUUUUAUCUUCAAUUAUUUCUACUACCAAAAAUUCAGAGAGGGAAUAAAAUGACUUUCCCAAAAUAAAGAAAUAAUGAAGAUUUAAUAAAAAAUCAAAUAAGAUUUAUUUUGGAGUUUUUCGCUUUUUAUUUGAAUUUAGGAAAAAUGCGCGUUUUUCAAAAUUGCAUUUAGGCCCCAUAUAAAUGUUCGUCUAGUCCGGCUUGAUUUUAGAAGCCGGGGAAAAUUAAUUUCGGGAUUUUUGGAGUCCGUUUAGUAUUUCUUUUUAUUUUUUUACCGAGCGUAAUUAUUUAAAAAAACGCGCACCGACCUACGGGUCGUGCCCGAGCGGGACUCCGCCCGGGGGCGCCUUUAUAUAGCGCCGCCCCGAGCGCCCAGCCCACCUGAGCCCACCCCGCGCCCUAACCCUAGCCGCCGCCGCCGCCAGCCGCCGCCGCCGCCGCCGGAGUUGCACGCCGCCCGAGGUUCGCCGCUGCCUCGAAAUCCGUGCCAAAAAUAUUUUUUUUAAAAAUAUAUAUAUAUUUUUUUCGUCAGUUUUAUUUUCGAUAUUUUUUUUAUUUUAUUAUUUUAUUUAUUUUUGGAUUAGGAUAAUGAACGAUUAAUUCGUUCGUCGUUUUUCUUUUUCGUCGGAUUUUCCGCGGUUAUUUUCUGAUCGCGAUUUCUGAUCCGAUUUUCAUUUUAGUAUAACUUUUCUCUCGUUUAUCGGAAUCAGGCGAUUCAAGCGCCUGGAGUUUCGUCUCGAAACCCUCUUUCCAAAUAAUCUACUUAAACAAGUUUUUGCUUCUCUAAAAUUUGACUUAGAUCCAUAUUAGUAAAACGAAGCUGAUUUCUUUCGCCGUUUGACUUUCGUUGCUUUAUUUGAUUUGAUUCUUUUUGCAAACCGGAGUUCUUAAGUUGAACAUUCUGGUUGGAUCUUUUAUUCGAGUUUUACCUGUGCAUUAGAUGAGUAUUUCUUGUAUGCUUGUUUGUUUGUCUGCGAUAGAAUACCCGGAGUGCGCCGCCUGUUACUUCGAGUCUCUAGGUUUCGCGGAUCAUCAGCAAGGCAAGUAACACUUGAUCAUACCUUUCUACUACCCAGUUUUUAUGCAUUAGUUCUAUCCUCAAACAUUGCAUGAUUAGGAUCUAAUUAAAUUGUGGGAUGGGAAGUAGAUGAGGUAGUACCUAUUACCUGUUUUAUUAUCAAACCUUUGGGAGUUACUUCUACGUUUGUUUAUUAUGCCAUGCUAUGCUAGUAGACGUGGAUUGGGUGAGUGAAUAUCCAUGACAGAUGUGAGAUUGUUAAUUAAUGGUUUAUUUAAGGUGGCAACUUGAAUACACAUCUGGGUGGAUUGAGGCACCUGUUUUCUAGCAGGACUUGCCUGUAUUUCUUCGGACCGUCACCCAGGCUCAAAGGGAUCAUGAGAUUAUUCAAACUAGAAACUUACGUGUGCAGCCACAAGCCAUUAUGGGCUCUGGCAUAGUUGACUAAGUUGUGCAAACUCUUACGGGUAGACUAGCAGAUGUAGGGGAAAGUAGGUGUACCGGUCUACCCACAUGUAAGGUGCUAGUGCUUCCGAAAGACUAUGUCUCGGUCAUCCGUUUCUCAAACAUCAUGUAGUGCGAGGAAUCAAACGGAGGCGAUCGAGUCUUGUGGGAAAAGUGCGCAAACCUCUGCAGAGUGUAUAAACUAAUCAUGGUUAGCCGUGUCCCCGGUUAUGGACAUCUUGAGUAUCUAGUACUUGAUUAUCAUGUGAAUCUCAUCAUGUUACUUUAAUUAAUAUUGUUGGGUUUUAAUGAGUACUUUUUAAUUGGGAUUGAGAAUGUUGUCAACCAUUCUCAAUGUUUAACAACCACCAUGAUAGUUAAAUAACUUUAUUCCUUUGCAGUAGGGAAAAAUUGGCUUUAUGCAAAAACUGUAACCAUAGAGCUUUACCACCAGCCAAAUAUGCAUGUAGUAUAGCCUAUCUCCAUUGUUAUUCUCUAUGUGUUACAUUGCUAGCAUAUUCCAUCUGCUGACCCGUUUUCGGGCUGCAACAUUUCAUGUUGCAGACUUUUCAGACGACGAGUAAGGUGUUGUUAGGUCGUGGUUCUAUACUCAGUGAUGCCGUUGUAGUUGAUGGACUCGCUUAUCUUCCAAGCCUUCCACUGUUAUCGUUUUAGAUGGCCUUAAGCCAUAUUUAUUUCAAUAAGUUCUCUUUUGAGACAUUCGAUGUAAUAAGUGUGUGAUUGCUACUCUGUUAUAAAUCCUCCAAGUACUGUGUGGUGUCAGCAUUACUGAUCCAGGGAUGACACUGAGCACAGAGAUCAGACUGUUUGAGGUCUGGUCGCUACAAGGUGGUAUCAGAGCACACGCUGACUGUAGGACACGACCACUAAGGUUAAACCCUAGAUCACUACUCUUUCUUCUCAUUUCUGACUCCUCAUCUUUUCUAUUCUUUAGGAUGGCGGACGCAAGGAUCAAGUUCGCGCAACCAGAUGAGAAUUCACCUUUUGGAUGUCACUUGGAGGAAGCCGCUAGAUACUUGAACAUAGGAGUACCAAGCUUCACUGGGACUUUCAACGCCACUUUACCCGAAGAGGAGCACUGGAGGAUUCAAGUCUACAUUCUAGGAAGGACGUUUGCACCAGUCACGGAACCAAUAGAAUUUACCUUUGAUGUACCAACAUGGGGCCUAGGAAAGAGCAUGACAGCUCACAUCGCCAUGGGACGAAUUGGAGAAGUUUACCACAACGAUCUCAAGAAUACUAUCUACCAGAUUUGUGGGCGCCGAGAUGAGCAUUGGGAGAUGAUCACCACCAGGAGGGACAGAUCAAUCGCAGCUUAUAUUCAGGAGUUAAACCAACACAUCCGACGCCAGGAGAACCAGAUGUGCACAGAUAUGGAGGAGCUACAGAAGGCUAUGACCAGGAUUAAGGAGCUAGAAGCAGAACUCAAGGCUACACGUAAAGACUAUAUGGAAGAAAUCGUCGCUCUAGUAAGACAGAAUGGUGACCUUAAGGAGAAGAUUGGAGUAUUCAUGGGAGGUUCAGCACCCAGAGGAGAAGAUGAUGAACCUACAUGUCCAGAUAAUUAUAUCAUCAUCGACGACACCGACUCAGAUCCCGACGACAGCGAUGAUGACUAUGUUGAUGAAGCUGGAGCAGAUAUCAUGGAAUCUGCAUCGGAUCAGUUUUUCUAGUUGACCACCAUAACAGUAGUAGAAUUUUCCACCAUUUAACUAGUUUUAGUCCAAGCACUUUUGUAACGAUAGUUAGACCGUUGUAUGCCCUUGUUUGAAUUGAUUGGAAUGAUAUUGUGUGUUUGUCUCAUGUGCAUAUGGGUAGUGUAUUCUCACUAGACCUCAUUCUAUUCUUAACUCUCCCCUUUAAACCCUCAGAUGCCUCUGAGACGCGACCCCGAGUUUGUUUUCCCGCCAGAGAUCACCCAGUUGAUUCAGCAACAGAAUACCUUGAUUCAAACAUUGGUACAGAACCAAUGCAACAACAACAACAACCCACCACCACCACCACAUGUUGACCAUCUGGCACGUUUCUUAAGGUUGAAUCUGCCGGUGUUUUCCAGUAGCACCGAGCCGAUAGUAGCAGAUGAUUGGCUCCGUAAGAUAGGGAGGGAGUUGACCACUGCAGGAUGCACAGAUGGAGAGAAGGUGAAGUUUGCCGCGCAUCAGCUUGACGGACCCGCAGCAGCAUGGUGGGAGAAUUUUAUAGCCACUUACCUUGUAGACACUGUCACAUGGAAUCAGUUUCAGCAAGCUUUUCGUACUGCCCAUGUUUCAGCAGGAGCUAUGGCCAUGAAGAAGCGUGAGUUUUGCAACUUACGCCAAGGAGGACGGACUGUUGGCCAGUAUGUGGAUGAUUUUAGUAAGCUAGCACGUUAUGCCCCAGAUGACGUUGCUACGGAUGCAGCUAAGCAGGAGAAGUUUCUAGAAGGCCUGAAUGAUGAGCUGAGCAUGCAGUUGAUGGUAGCCACUUUCAAUAACUACCAGGAGUUAGUAGAUCGUGCUCUUAUGAUUGAAGGGAAGCAGCAGCAGAUUGAUAAUCGUAAGAGGAAGUAUGCCCAGGGGAAGUAUAAUUUUGGAGCUCAGCAGAAGCCACGCUUUACCCCAAAUUCAGGAGGACAUUUUCAGCAUACUCAUGGAGGAGGCAGCUCGCACAAUCACAAUGGCACAGAGAAUGGAAACGGGAAUGGAGGAAGCAAUGGACAAAGCCGCACCAACCCGUCAACACCAACCAAGGUAGACCUGAGCCAUAUCACCUGUUAUAAGUGCCGCAAGAUGGGGCAUUAUGCAAAUGAUUGCCCAGAAGCCCAAAAUGGAAAUGGUAAUGGAAGCUCCGGAAAGAAGUCGAACCCUUUCAACAAGGGGCAAGUGAACCACGUUACCGUGGAGGAGGUUGAAGCUCAGCCAGAUGCAGUAAUAGGUAAGUUUUUGGUUAAGACAUUUACUGCAAUUGUUCUUUUCAAUACUGGAGCAUCGCAUUCAUACAUAUCAAGGGGAUUUGUGAAUAAGUUUAGCCUGCCUACUAAGACUCUUAAGACACCCAUGCUAGUAAGUUCACUGGGAGCUGAGUUUAUGGUCAGUCAAGGAUGCUUCCAGGUGCCGUUGAGUAUAGGAAGGCAUGUUUUCCCCACGGAUUUGAUUAUAUUGGAAUCCCAAGGAUUGGAUGUAAUUCUUGGUAUGGAUUGGCUGUCGAUGUAUGGAGGAAACAUUGAUUGCGCCAGUAAGACAAUUUUGCUUACAACACCAGAAGGGAUAAGGACCAAGUAUGUAUCACGGCAUGAGCCGAGGAGAGCACAUGUAAAUUCCUUAUCAGGAGUUGUGCAGGAGGAAGUACCAGUGGUAAAGGAUUUCCCCGAUGUAUUUCCAGAAGAGUUGCCAGGCAUGCCACCGGAUAGAGACAUUGAGUUCUUAAUUGAGCUACUGCCAGGCACUGGGCCGAUAUCUAAGAGACCGUACAGGAUGCUAGCCCAAGAUUUGGAGGAAAUUAAGAAGCAGAUCAAGGAGUUACUGGAAAAAGGUUUUAUUCGCCCAAGUUCUUCGCCUUGGGGAUCGCCAGUACUUCUAGUGGAGAAGAAGGAUGGAUCAUUAAGAAUGGUUGUUGAUUAUCGCUGAUUGAAUGAAGUAACAAUCAAGAACAAGUACCCAUUACCUAUGAUCAAUGAUCUGUUUGAUCGGUUGCAAGGAGCUAAGGUGUUUUCCAAGAUCGAUUUGCGAUCAGGGUACCAUCAGUUGAAGAUUCGAGAGCAAGAUAUACCGAAGACGGCUUUUACCACCAGGUACGGGCUGUAUGAGUAUACCGUUAUGUCAUUUGGUCUGACUAACGCCCCAGCCUAUUUUAUGAACAUGAUGAACAAGGUGUUUAUGGAGUUUUUGGAUAAGUUCGUCAUGGUGUUCAUUGAUGAUAUUUUGGUUUACUCGAAGAAUGAAGAGGAACACAAGGAGCACUUGCGAUUAGUACUCGAGAAGCUCAGGGAACAUCAUCUAUACGCCAAGUUCAGCAAGUGUGAGUUUUGGUUGAAGGAAGUUGGAUUUCUCGGACAUGUUAUAUCCGGAGAAGGUAUCGCAGUAGACCCCACUAAAGUAGUCACUGUGACAAACUGGGAAGCACCAACAACAGUUGGAGAGAUCGGGAGUUUCCUUGGACUCGCAGGAUACUAUCGAAGAUUCAUUGAAAAUUUCUCGAAGAUUGCCAAGCCUAUGACAGAGUUGUUGAAGAAGGAUACCAAGUUCAUCUGGACUGAGGAGUGUGAGGCUAGUUUCCAAGAAUUGAAGAAACGUUUGGUUACCUCACCAGUGUUGAUUCUGCCAGAUCAGACUAAGGAUUAUGAAGUGUAUUGCGACGCUUCACGACGAGGACUUGGAGCAGUGCUUAUGCAGGAGGGAAGAGUUGUUUCGUAUGCUUCAUGACAGCUUAAGCCCCAUGAGUUGAAUUAUGCUACUCAUGAUUUGGAGUUAGCAGCCGUAGUGCAUGCACUGAAAACGUGGAGACAUUUUCUCAUUGGAAAUCAUUGUGAGGUGUACACGGAUCACAAGAGUUUGAAGUACAUCUUCAUGCAGAAGGAAUUAAAUCUCAGGCAGAGGAGAUGGUUGGAACUUAUUAAGGAUUAUGAUAUGAGAUUGCAUUAUCACCCCGGGAAGGCUAACGUUGUAGCAUACGCUUGAGCCGCAAGAGCCAUGUCAAUACUCUAAUGAUGGGAGAAAUACCCAAGGAGUUAGCCGAGGACCUUCGAGAGCUAUGUUUGGAAAUAGUUCCGAGAGUCUAUGUAGCAGCAUUGGAGAUUCAGUCUAUGUUGAUGGAUAAAAUCAGAGAAGCUCAAAAGGCAGAUACGGAAGUUGCCACUAUUAAGGAACAGAUGAGCAAGGGGAAGGCUAAGGGAUUUCGUGAGGAUGAGUACGAUACCCUACGAUUUGAGGACCGUGUUUAUGUGCCCAAUGACCCGGAGAUCAGGAAGUUGAUUCUGCAAGAGGCACAUGAUUCACCAUAUUCGAUCCACCCUGGAAAUACAAAGAUGUAUUUGGAUUUGAAGGAAACAUUCUGGUGGACCAGAAUGAAGAAGGAUAUCGCGGAGUAUGUAGCAGUUUGUGAUGUAUGUCAGAGGGUGAAAGCAGAACACCAGAAGCCAGCUGGAUUGUUGCAGCCAUUGCCUAUACCCGAAUGGAAGUGGGAUAAACUAGGCAUGGAUUUCAUCACGGGAUUGCCCAGGACUCGUUCAGGCUAUGACUUGAUUUGGGUUGUAGUUGAUCAUUUGACGAAGGUAGCUCAUUUCAUCCCAGUAAAGACUACCUACAGUAGUGCCAAAUUGGCUAAGAUAUGCAUGACGAGGAUAGUAUGUUUGCAUGGAGUUCCAAGGAGUAUCGUAUCAGAUAGAGGAACCCAAUUCACCUUGAAGUUCUGGAAGCAGUUGCACGAAACAUUGGGAACCAGACUGGAGUUUAGCACAGCUUUCCACCCGCAGACAAAUGGACAGACCGAGAGAGUCAAUCAGAUUUUGGAGGAUAUGCUUAGAGCUUGUGUUUUGGAUUAUGGAUCAAGUUGGGAUGACAACUUGCCAUACGUGGAGUUUUCUUACAACAAUAGUUAUCAAUCCAGCUUGAAGAUUGCCCCUUUCGAAGCCUUGUACGGAAGUAGGUGCAAAACCCCGUUGUUGUGGGAUGAGGUUGGAGACCGCCAGUUGUUUGGACCAGAUUUGAUUAAGGAGUCUGAACAGAAAGUAAAGUUGAUUCGCGACAGGCUCAAGGUAGCUCAGUCAAGGCAGAAGAGCUAUGCAGAUUCAGAACGCAAGGAGACAGAAUACGAAGUCGGAGACAGAGUUUAUCUUCAAGUAUCUCCACUUCGAGGGGUUAAGCGAUUUGGAGUUAAAGGAAAGUUAGCGCCACGUUUUGUGGGGCCAUACAAAGUUUUGGAACGCAUGGGAGAAGUAGCAUACAAGUUGGAAUUACCUGAGGGAUUGUCAGGAGUUCACGAUGUGUUCCAUGUUUCACAGUUGAAGAAGUGUCACGCAGAGAUGGCUGAUAUACCACUGAGAGAUACGGUGCCAUUGGAAACGAUUCAGUUGAAAGAAGAUUUGACCUAUGAAGAGAAACCUGUUAAGAUUCUGGAUUAUGCCAGCAGAGCUACCCGCAGCAAGGUUAUCAAGUUUUGCAAAGUUCAGUGGAGCCACCACACUGAAGAGGAAGCCACCUGGGAGCGAGAGUAAGAUCUGCUCAAGGACCACCCUCACCUAUUUGCUAGCCAACCCGAAUCUCGAGGGCGAGAUUCAUCUUAAGGGGGGUAGGUUUGUAACAUCCCAAAUUUUCAAUUUGGAAUGUUAUACAUAGAUCAUCAUUGCAUAUCAUAUUUUUGUUGCAUUGUUGGCUCAAUCCUAGAAAUUCUACGCAACUCAAUGACCCACAGAGAGAGUUGGGGAUUUCGUUAUUUUCCUUAUUUGAGUAUUUCUCAAAUUUUGAAAAUAGGAUCAUUGAUUUUAUUUAUUUCAUCUUCAAUUAUUUCUACCACCAAAAUUCAGAGAGGGAAUAAAAUGACUUUCCCAAAAUAAAGAAAUAAUGAAGAUUUAAUAAAAAAAUCCAAUAAGAUUUAUUUUUGAGUUUUUUGCUUUUUAUUUGAAUUUAGGAAAAAUACGCGUUUUUCAAAAUUGCAUUUAGGCCCCAAAUAAAUGUUCGUCUAGUCCGGCUUGAUUUUAGAAGCCGGGGAAAAUUUAUUUCGGGAUUUUUGGAGUCCGUUUAUUAUUUCUUUUUAUUUUUUUACCGAGCGUAAUUAUUUAAAAAAAACGCGCACCGACCUACGGGUCGUGCCCGAGCGGGAUUCCGCUCGGGGGCACCUUUAUAUAGCGCCGCCCCAAGCGCCCAGCCCACCCGAGCCCACCCCGUGCCUUAACCCUAGCCGCCGCCGCCAGCCGCACCCGCCGGAGUUGCACGCCGCCCGAGGUUCGCCGCUGCCUCGGAAUCCAUGCCAAUUUUUUUUUAAAUAUAUAUUUUUCGUCAGUUUUAUUUUUGAUUUUUUUAUUAUUUUAUUAUUUUAAUUAUUUUUGAAUUAGGAUAAUUAACGAUUAAUUCGUUCGUCAUUUUUCUUUUUCGUCGGAUUUUCCGCGGUUAUUUUCUGAUCGCGAUUUCUGAUUCGAUUUUCGUUUUAGUAUAACUUUUCGCUCGUUUAUCGGAAUCAGGCGAUUCAAGCGCCUGGAGUUUCGUCUCGAAACCCUCUUUCAGAAUAAUCUACUUAAACAAGUUUUUGCUUCUGUAAAAUUUGACUUAGAUCCAGAUUAGUAAAACGAAGCUGAUUUCUUUCGCCGUUUGACUUUCGUUGCUUUAUUUGAUUUGAUUCUUUUUGCAAACCGGAGUUCUUAAGUUGAACAUUCUGGUUGGAUCUUUUAUUCAAGUUUUACCUGUGCAUUAGAUAAGUACUUAUUGUAUAGUUGUUUGUUUGUCUACGAUAGAAUACCCGGAGUGCACCGCCUGUUACUUCGAGUCUCUAGGUUUCGCGGAUCAUCAGCAAGGCAAGUAACACUUGAUCAUACCUUUCUACUACCCAGCUUUUAUGCAUUAGAUCUAUCCUGAAACAUUGCAUGAUUAGGAUCUAAUUAAAUUGUGGGAUGGGAAGUAGAUGAGGUAGUACCUAUUACCUGUUUUAUUAUCUAACCUUUGGGAGUUACUUCUACGUUUGCUUAUUAUGCCAUGCUAUGCUAGUAGACGUGGAUUGGGUGAGUGAAUAUCCAUGACAGAUGUGAGAUUGUUAAUUAAUGGUUUAUUUAAGGUGGCAACUUGAAUACACAUCUGGGUGGAUUGAGGCACCUGUUUUCUAGCAGGACUUGCCUGUAUUUCUUCGGACCGCCACCCAGGCUCAAAGGGAUCAUGAGAUUAUUCAAACUAGAAACUUACGUGUGCAGCCACAAGCCAUUAUGGGCUCUGGCAUAGUUGACUAAGUUGUGCGAACUCUUACGGGUAGACUAGCAGAUGUAGGGGAAAGUAGGUGUACCGGUCUACCCACAUGUAAGGUGCUAGUGCUUCCGAAAGACUAUGUCUCGGUCAUCCGUUUCUCAAACAUCAUGUAGUGCGAGGAAUCAAACGGAGGCGAUCGAGUCUUGUGGGAAAAGUGCGCAAACCUCUGCAGAGUGUAUAAACUAAUCAUGGUUAGCCGUGUCCCCGGUUAUGGACAUCUUGAGUAUCUAGUACUUGAUUAUCAUGUGAAUCUCAUCAUGUUACUUUAAUUAAUAUUGUUGGGUUUUAAUGAGUACCUUUUAAUUGGGAUUGAGAAUGCUGUCAACCAUUCUCAAUGUUUAACAACCACCAUGAUAGUUAAAUAACUUUAUUCCUUUGUAGUAGGGAAAAAUUGGCUUUAUGCAAAAACUGUAACCAUAGAGCUUUACCACCAGCCAAAUAUGCAUGUAGUAUAGCCUAUCUCCAUUGUUAUUCUCUAUGUGUUACAUUGCCAGCAUAUUCCAUGUGCUGACCCGUUUUCGGGCUACAACGUUUCAAGUUGCAGACUUUUCAGACGACGAGUAAGGUGCUGUUAGGUCGUGGUUCUAUACUCAGUGAUGCCGUUGGAGUUGAUGGACUCGCUUAUCUUCCAAGCCUUCUGCUGUUAUCGUUUUAGAUGGCCUUAAGCCAUAUUUAUUGCAAUAAGUUCUCUUUUGAGACAUUCGAUGUAAUAAGUGUGUGAUUGCUACUCUGUUAUAAAUCCUCCAAGUACUGUGUGGUGUCAGCAUUACUGAUCCAGGGAUGACACUGAGCACAGAGAUCAGACUGUUUGAGGUCUGGUCGCUACACCAGGCCGGCCAACAUUUUGGAGCCGUCGAAGUGCAUGAUCCAAUUAGAAUAUGCGCCAUACUCUUUAGGGAGUUCGGCUUCGGUCCAUUCUGCGAUGAAGUCGGCCAAAACUUGCGACUUGAUAGCUCGCUAUGGUUUAUAGGUUAUGUCGAAUGGUAGGAGCUCGAUGGCCCAUUUUGCAAUCCUGCCAGUCGCGUCGCGGUUGUUUAUAAUGUCAUUAAGAGGUACUUCGGAAGCUACUGUUAUUGAACACUCUUGAAAGUAGUGUCGCGGCUUCCGGGAUGCCAUGAACACUGUGUACGCUAUCUUUUGAUAAUGUGGAUACUGGGACUUGCAUGGAGUUAGGACAGUGGAUACGUAGUACACUGGUUUUUGAAGAGGGAACUUGUGUCCGUCCGUUUCUCGUUCGACAACGAGCACCGCGCUUACAACUUGAUGUGUUGCCACGAUAUAUAAUAACAUUGGUUCGCCCAAGUUGGGAGCGGCCAGGACCAGAUUUGUUGCCAAUAUGGCCUUUAUUUCUUCAAGUCCGGCCGUGGCGGCAUCCGUCCACUCGAAGUGUUCGGUGCGCCGGAGGAGGCGAUAAAGGGGUAAUGCCUUUUCUCCUAAGCGGGAGAUGAAGCGGCUUAGAGCCGCCACGCAUCCAGUCAAUUUUUGUAUUUGCUUGAGGUCUUUUGGGAUAUCCAGUUGUGACAGAGCUCGGAUCUUGGCUGGGUUUGCUUCAAUUCCUCUACCGGAUACAAUGAAGCCCAAGAGCUUUCCGGCUGGUACGCCAAAAACGCAUUUUUCCGGGUUGAGCUCAAUGUCAUAUGCUCGGAGAUUGUCAAAUGUGAGCCUCAAAUCGUCUACUAGAGUUUCGACAUGUUUGGACUUGACGACCACAUCGUCUAUGUAUGCCUCCACUGUUUUGCCGAUCUGGGUUGCCAGACAUGUCUGAAUCAUGCACUGAUAUGUUGCAUCGGUGUUUUUGAGCCCGAAGGGCAUUGUGUUGAAGCAGAAUGGUCCGUAUGGAGUAAUGAAUGCCGUUGCGGCUUGGUCUAGCUCUGCCAUCUUGAUUUGAUGGUAGCCGGAGUAUGCGUCGAGGAAGCACAAUGAAUCGUGCCCUGCGGUAGCAUCGAUAAUUUGAUCGAUGCGGGGAAGGGGGAAGGGAUCCUUUGGACAAGCCUUGUUAAGGUCCUUGAAAUCGACACACAGGCGCCAGGAUUUGUCCUUCUUUGGUACCAUUACCAGGUUUGCUAGCCAGUCCGGAUGUUUUAUGUCUCUGAUGAAUCCAACUUCUAAUAGUUUGGCUAGCUCCUCUCCCAUUGCCUGUCUUUUGGGUUCGGAAAAUCGCCGAAGAGUUUGUUUGACUGGCUUGAAUCCUUUUAGGAUAUUUAGGCUGUGCUCUGCCAGCCGGCGUGGGAUUCCUGGCAUGUCUGAAGGGUGCCAGGCAAAAAUGUCCCAAUUUUCCCGUAGGAAUUCUCGUAGUGCGGUGUCUACAUCAGGGUUUAAUUGUGCCCCAAUGGAGGCCGUCUUUGUAGGGUCCGUUGGAUGGACUUGGAAUUUGACUAUUUCGUCCGCUGGCUUAAAAGAGGUGGACUUGGAUCUUUUGUCAAGUAUCACAUCAUCCCUGUUCACCGUGGAGCGCAGCGCUGUGAGUUCCUCGGCCGCUAGGGCUUCAGAUAGCGCCUCUAGGGCUAGUGCGGCUGUCUUAUUUUCGGCGCGGAGCGCUACGUCCGGAUCACUGGCGAGGGUUAUGAUUCCGUUGGGCCCGGCAUUUUGAGCUUCAUGUACCCGUAAUGGGGUAUAGCUUGAAAAAUUGUGAAUGCCUCUCGUCCUAAUAAAGCGUGAUAUCCGCUGCUGAAUGGGGCCACAUGGAAUGUGAUCUCCUCGGACCUGUAGCUGUCCGGUGAUCCGAAUACUACAUCUAGUGUUAUUUUUCUUGUGCAGCAUGCUUCCCGACUAGGGAUUAUUCCUCUGAAGGUUGUGUUGCUUCGCUCAAUGCGGCUCCAGUCUACUUCCAUUUUUCGAAGGGUUUCCUCGUAGAUGAGGUUUAAUCCGCUGCCGCCAUCCAUGAGUAACUUAGUAAGGUGAAAGCCGUCCACUAUUGGACUGAGGACCAAUGCGGAUGGUGCUCGGGCUGUUCGGAAUUUAGGUUCGUCACUGGCGUUAAAGGUAAUAGCCGUGUCGCUCCAUGGAUUUAUUGUUGCUACUUGGUAGACUUCGGCGAGGCUGCGGAGUGUUCGUUUCCGCAUAUUAUUUGAUGCGAAAGUCUCGAAGACUGUUAAUACCAUACUGGUACUGUCAGGCUGGUUCUCUGGGGCUAGAAGCUCUUCACCACUUUUGGCCACCUACCAUAGUAUCCAACAUGCUCGAAGGCUAUGUGUUGGAGUGGCGCCCUCUGUACUAUGGAUUUUGCAGGGUCCGCUGAGCCAUCCCUCCAGUACGGUUCCGUGCCCUUUAGGGGUUUUUUGCUUUUUGGUUUUUAACCCAGGUGCCUGAAUAUGAUGCACCCUUUUAUUUCGGACUAGGGUUGUGUUCGGAGCCGAAUUGUCCCAAAAUUUGGUUUCGGUUUUCCAGGCACUCUCCAUCGCACAGUACUUUCGUACUAUGGAUGCCAAGUCGGCGAAGCGUGUAAUUUCACGACGACUUAUGGCGUUCAUGAUUCCCUUGUCCGUGCAAUUAUUGCAGAAGAUUCAGAUUGCACUUCCCUCAUGGCAGUCCUUUAUACUGUCCAUAACCAGGAGGAAUCUGGCCCAGUAAUGGUGUACUGUUUCAGCAGGCUCUUGCCGGAUUCGGUAUAGAUCGCUUAUGUUUGGGUGGGCGGGUGGAAUUAAAUUCGGAACCCCGUCCAAUCUAAGACUCAAGGGCCAAAAAGUUUCCGAACUUGGAAGCUUGGGUUGUUGGAUGUUGUCCAACGAAUCUGGCCUGCUGCCUGACUUUAGGUUCAGUGCUUGAUUGACAUCCAUCCCUCCGCAGGAAUCCGGCAUGGAGGGGUCGCGAAUUCAGACAUAGCUUGUCCUUAAUGUAGAAGAAGAGUCGCCGAGCUGUUCCUCCACCACAUCAACAUGGUGGGAAGCCUGGGGAGAGUUGAUCUCUCUCAGAUCGGUUAUAAACCCAAUCCGAUCAUUGUCUGUAGCGACUCCCAGGGCGGCGAUGCGAUCCAAGAGCUCGUUUAAGGAGGAGAGCUCCAUCGGAUCUAGCUACUCGGCGAGUUCCGAGUUGACGUGAAGAUUGCUUCCGAUGACCCGAGAGGUCAUCGUCGGCGAGGCAGCCGAACAGGCGGUCAUAAGAAAACCGCCUAGCCGAAUAGUUUGGCCGAUGGCCAAAGCUCUUUUGGCGACGGUGCCGUCUUUAAAGACGAGACGAGGCAUCCUUCCUGAUUGCGAUGACACAGAGGAACUCUCAAUGAAAGCACCAAUGUCGGUGUCAAAACCGGCGGAUCUCGGGUAGGGGGUCCCGAACUGUGCGUCUAGGCGGAUGGUAACAGGAGACAAGGGACACGAUGUUUUUACCCAGGUUCGGGCCCUCUCGGUGGAGGUAAAACCCUACUCCUGCUUGAUUAAUAUUGAUGAUAUGGGUAGUACAAGAGUAGAUCUACCACGAGAUCAAGGAGGCUAAACCCUAGAAGCUAGCCUAUGGUAUGAUUGUUGUUCGUCCUACGAACUAAAACCCUCCGGUUUAUAUAGACACCGGAGAGGGCUAGGGUUACACAGAGUCGGUUACAAUGGUAGGAGAUCUACAUAUCCGUAUCGCCAAGCUUGCCUUCCACGCCAAGGAAAGUCCCAUCCGGACACGGGACGAAGUCUUCAAUCUUGUAUCUUCAUAGUCGAGUCCGGCCAAUGAUGAUAGUUCGGCUAUCCGGACACCCCCUAGUCCAGGACUCCCUCACCUCCCGUUGCGGCCGUAAGGGUCCAGACUCCGCCACCGCUUUAGCAAGGAUAUUGUCCGAUUUGUACAAAGGGGAAGAGGAGUUCCUCCGCAUUAAAACACGGGACGAAUUCUCCAUGUACAACCCUCCAGAGUGGGUAAGUUGCCAUUCUUUUCCCUGCUUCACUUACUUUAGCGUCCCUCUGCUAAGAUUACCUACAUCGAUGUUUCCGAGCAGGAACUGAGGAGGGUCGUAGAAGGAAUCUUCAGCCCCUCCCCGCAGCCAGAGGACCCCGGAAGGGCCCUAGAUCCGGGACUCAAAGAAGAUCCGAAUAUUACCGUGGAGCUUGUCAACGGGGUAUUUUAUCAAGCGAGCUGGGAUGGCGCUUCAGUGGCCAUUACGGCCGACUAUCCUGGACUGCUCCCUAUGUCGCGUGUAAGCCGAACUAAAAACCCUAUCCUCCGAAGAGGAUUUCCCUCCGGAUUAUGAUUUACCCUUGAGGCGUCGUGCUGUUUGCAGAGGCGACGGUCGGAGCACGGGGCCGAGCCCCUAGGGACUCGUCAACCACGGGCAUCUGGAUCGGGCAGGCUCAAGAGAAAGGCGGUGAGGGUUGACACUCCGUUGCAGAGGUAAAGUAAUAACCUAUCCUGUGGUUAUAGUAUUUGAAAUAUGACAGCGCCCUUUGUGUCUGGCAGGAAGAGAAAUAGUCGGACUAUAUCCGGGGGUCCCACCAAUCACGCCUCCACUAGCCAGGUUCCAGAACCGGCUUCGAGGGCGGCGGCGGACACGGGGCCAGAACCGCGCAGUUCUCCGACAGAGUUCGCGGAUAUGUGUUCGGCCACGAAUUCCGAGGUGGAGAGCGCCAUGAAUCACCGGCGCCGGAGGGCCGUGCUUCGGAACAACAUCUUUUUUGAAGAGGCUUUUAAUGCCUUCAAUUCGGCAGACGCAUACGUCCGAGCUUCUCAAGGCGGGCUAGCCCAGGCGACAAACCAAUACACCAAAGAUAUACGGGUAAGAAAUUUUGACAAGUAUAUAUAGCAGUAGCCCUUGAUACUUGAAAUAGUUGGGAUAACUGUUUGAAGGAUCAACUUAUGUAUAGGUCCUCGUGGACAAGAAUGAACAAUUGGCUCGGGAGCUGGAGGCGUGUAAGGCCCAGUUAAUGGACGUGGUUGCCAAGUUAGAGGAAUCCUAGAAGGCCCCCUCUGGUAAUAUUUGUCUUAAUUAUGCGCCGAUAUACCAGUUAGUAAAUGUCUGGUCUGGUUAGUCUAACAAAAAAUUCUGCAGACCAUCCCGGGGUGAAUCCGGAGGGCGUAACGGAUGACGACUCGCAUCUCAAAAGACAGCUAAAGGCUGGCGAGCGCAUCCUUACACAAGUAACACAAGAGAAGAACAAGCUACAAGAUGCCAAUAUUCGGUUGGACGUGGAAUUGAAGGACGUCCGCGCUCAACUCGCGGACUCCGUGAAGGAGAACAAAAGGCUUUGACGCGACAUUUAUGGUGAGUGCUUAGACGAACUGUAUGAUAGUUCAGCGAGGAAGUAUUGUGAAAGAGUUUUGCUUGCAGGAAUGUUAACGGGGCGCCUUGAAGAGGAGAUGUCCUCAUCUGCAAGUGAUGUGCUGCAAGAACUUUUGCAGUUGCACGAGCAUGCUCGGCGGGUGAUGCGCGGCGUUGCUCAGGCCUUGUGGCCAUCAAGCCUCCUGCCGAAUGGCAUGGGGGAGCUUGCGGACCUGCUUCAAGGAGCCCAGCGGCGCUUCCAUCUGUGGAAGAUAUCAGCAUGCCGGCAAGGUGCAAGAGAAGCCUGGGCCAUGGUGAAGACGCGCUACACCAAGCUGGACCCGGACCAUAUGGCCGAAGUAGGACCGGCGAGGCCCGAUGGUCAAGAAAUUCCCGUAAGCCUGGUAUAUGACCAGGUAGCGUUAGCCGCUAAGUAUUCUCAACAGGAUUGUAAGCUAGAUAUCCUGUUAGAUGGUAUAGAGGAGGAAUAUAGUUAGUCCAAGUGACUGUGUAAUUUGAUGGGCAUAAGUAGCCCCUAGCCGGAUUAAAAUCAUUUGUCAUGGCGGACCUUUUCGCUUUAGCCCCCGGAUCCUACAGUCCGGGGUGUGUCCGAAUACCCGCUCAGUUAUAAAAAACCGGGGUAUGUGUGGAGACCAGUCGUAGGGGUCAUAAGUGCUUGAACAGACAAGUACCCAACUAGUUAUGUUAUAUUACAUGGAUGGUAAGAAACAUCUUCCACGGAGAAUAGUUCCGUUAGGGGUUCCUUUCCGUGGGUAUGCAUGCGUCAAUGCACAUGUCCGGACUGCGAACGAUGGCGCAGUAUACAAGACUUCUGGGGAUUUUUGUUGUAACCAACGAAUACAUCCUUUGUUCACCGAUCGAAUAUUAUCUUAAGGAAACUAGCUUUCGGCUUCACCCAGUCUGAGGUACACAUCCGGCUGAACCGGCAGUAACAAUCGUAGAGGUGCUCCCCUUAUGCCCUAGCCGAAUUAACGGGAACGUAGGGCAUAAACACAAGAGCCAGACAACCCAGCUUGGCCACAUCUUAAGUCAUAUCGAUGCAUAUAAUGGUGAAGAAAAGGCACAUAUGGAAAAAGAACACAUAUGUGAUAGGCAAAAAUCCAUUUUAAAGUAAUUAUGUUUAGCUUCCGAAUAGGAAGCCCCCAGGUAUUUCUUACACACAUAGUGCGGCCGGAGUAAUCCGGGAGUCUGCAUUAUAAAGUACUUUGUGUGAAGAGAGAAAGAGAAAAAGGAAAAGGGGGGUCGAGAAAGGAAAAGUGGGGUGGAGCAUAAGUAAAAAAAGGGGGAGUAAGGAGACGAACAUUGAGUUCGGCGUUAGGCGUAGAAUCUCCGGAGUCUGGCCGCGUUCCAUAGGUUCGGCUCGAGUCUGUUAUUCGAUGCAUUACAUAAGCGGUACGCUCCUCCGGUGAGAACUUUGUCAUGACGAAGGGACCUUCCCACUUGGGUUUGAGUUUGUCCUUCUUCUUCUCCGGUAGGCGUAGAACGAGCUCGCCAAUAUUGUAAGUUUUGGCCCGCACUUCUAUGCUUUGAUAUUGUCGAGCCUGCUGCUGAUAGAAUGCAGAAUGGGCUUUUGCGACAUCGCACUCCUCCUCCAGUGCAUCCAAGUUAUCCUGCCGAUCUAACUCGGCUUCCUUCUCUUUGUACAUGCGUACGCGUGGCGAAUCAUGUAUUAUGUCGCAGGGUAGUACCGCUUCCGCAUUGUACACCAUAAAAAAUGGUGUGUAUCCGGUGGUGCGAUUCGGUGUGGUCCGCAGCCCCCAGAGUAUGGAGUCGAGCUUCUCCACCCAUUGUGUAUCUGAUUCUGUUAAAGAUCGCACUAGUCUUGGUUUUAUGCCGCUCAUGAUGAGACAAUUUGCCCAUUCGACCUGGCCGUUUGUUUGGGGCUGGUAGACAGAAGCGUAGUCGAGCUUAAUGCCUAUUUUGCCGCACCAAGUUUUCACCUCAUCGGCUGUGAAAUUUGAGCCAUUAUCAGUGAUGAUGCUGUGGGGGACACUGUAUCGGUGUACGACCCCGAAUAUGAAGUCUAUUAAUGGUCCGGAUUCGGCCGUUUUAACUAGUUUGGCUUCUAUCCAUUUGGUGAACUUGUCCACCAUGACCAAUAAGUAUUUUUUCUUGUGGCUUCCCCCUUUAAGGGGUCCAACCAUAUCCAGCCCCCAGACCGCGAAGGGCCAAGUUAUGGGGAUUGUUUGGAGAGCGGUAGGGAGCAUAUGACUCUGAUUGGCGAAGAGCUGGCAACCGACACAAUGUUGGACAAGGUCCUGUGCGUCUGCUCGGGCCGUCGGCCAAUAGAAGCCUGUACGGAAGGCUUUGCUGACUAGUGCUCGGGCCGCGGCGUGGUGUCCGCCCAGUCCGGCGUGGAUUUCAGCCAAGAGUUGCCGCCCUUCCUCUUCGGAGAUGCACCUUUGGAGCACUCCAGUCGCACUAGUCUUGUAGAGUUCCCCUUCGUGGACUUUGUAAGCUUUAGAACACCGGACUAUGCAGCGUGCUUCGUUUUGGUCUUCGGGGAGCUCUUGCCUAUUUAGGUAGGCCAAGAAAGGCUCGGUCCACGGGGCAAUUACGGCCAUGAUUUCGUGGGCCGAAGAUGUUAUUUCGGUGGCAGAGCCUCCGAUUGUGUCUGAUGGUUCAGAAUCUGGGGGUGUGUUUGGAUCCAUGCUGGUAUUGCCGGACUCCCCUUUCCAUACCACGGAUGGCUUGAACAGCCUUUCCAGGAAUAUGUUAGGUGGGACAGGGUCACGUUUGGCGCUGAUGCGGGCGAGAAUGUCCGCCGCUUGAUUGUUUUCUCGAGCCACAUGGUGGAAUUCGAGCCCCUCGAACCAAGCUGACAUUUUGAGGAUGGCAUUACGGUAGGCCGCCAUUUUCGGAUCCUUGGCAUCAAAGUAUCCGUUUAUUUGUGAUAUGGCAAGGUUCGAAUCCCCGCACACUUCUAGGCGUUGGAUGCCCAUAGAGACUGCCAUCCGAAGACCGUGAAAUAGCGCCUCGUAUUCGGCUGCGUUGUUGGAGUCUGUAUAUAAUAUUUGAAGGACGUACUGGACCGUGUCUCUGGUGGGAGACGUCAGGACUACCCCUGCUCCCAGUUCGGCCAGUAUUUUGGAGCCGUCGAAGUGCAUGAUCCAGUUGGAGUACACGUUGUACUCUUUAGGGAGUUCGGCUUCUGUCCAUUCGGUGACAAAGUCGGCCAGCACUUGCGACUUAAUGGCUCGCCGUGGUUUGUAUAUUAUGUCGAACGGAAGGAGCUUGAUAGCCCAUUUAGCAAUCCGGCCCGUAGCGUCGCGGUUAUUAAUUAUGUCAUUGAGUGGUACUUCGGAGGCGACAGUAAUUGAACACUCUUGAAAGUAGUGUCUUAGCUUCCGGGAUGCCAUGAAGACCGCGUAUGCUAUUUUUUGAUAGUGUGGGUAUCGAGAUUUGCAUGGGGUGAGGACUGUGGAUACGUUAUAAACCAGCUUUUGACGCGGGAAUUUGUAUCCGUCCACCUCUCGUUUGACGACGAGCACUGCGCUUACCACUUGAUGUGUUGCAGCUAUGUAUAAUAGCAUAGGUUCGCCAAUGGUUGGCGUUGUUAGGACUGGAUUACUAGCCAAUAAGGUCUUUAUCUCAUCGAGUCCGGCCGCGGCUGCAUCCGUCCAUACGAAGUGUUCGGUGCACCGAAGGAGGCGGUAAAGAGGCAAUGCCUUUUCUCCUAGCCUGGAUAUAAAGCGGCUCAAAGCGGCCAUGCAUCCAGCUAGCUUCUGGAUCUGCUUGAGGUCUAUUGGUAUAGCCAACUACGACAGAGCUUGGAUUUUUGCCGGAUUCGCCUCGAUUCCUCUAUUGGAAACAAUGAAGCUCGGCAGCUUCCCCGAGGGGACACCGAAAAUGCAUUUUUCCGGAUUCAACUUGAUGUCGUAUGUCUGGAGGUUAUCGAAUGUAAGCCUCAAGUCAUCUAUUAGGGUUUCAACGUGUCUCGUUUUUAUGACCACGUCGUCCACAUAUGCCUCCACUGUUUUGCCGAUUUUUUUUCAGGCAUGCUUGAAUCAUGUGUUGAUAGGUUGCACCGGCAUUCUUAAGCCCGAAAGGCGUAGUGUUGAAGCAAAAAGGGCCGUAUGUCGUUAUGAAAGCUGUUGUAGCUUGGUCAGACUCUGCCAUCUUUAUUUGAUGGUAUCCAGAGUAUGCGUCGAGAAAACACAGCGAGUCGUGUCCAGCUGUGGCAUCGAUAAUCUGAUCGAUGCGAGGGAGGGGAAAGGGAUCCUUGCGGCAAGCCUUGUUGAGGUCUUUGAAGUCGACGCAUAGGUGUCAGGAUUUGUCCUUUUUUUGGUACCAUUACCAAAUUUGCCAGCCAAUCUGGAUGUUUAAUAUCUCUGAUGAACCCGGCCUCAAGUAGCUUGGCUAGCUCUUCCCCCAUGGCUUGCCAUUUGGGUUCUGAAAACCGCCUUAGAGUCUGUUUGACCAGUUUGUAUCCCUUUAGUAUAUUGAGGCUGUGUUCAGCCAACCGGUGUGGGAUGCCUGGCAUGUCUGAAGGGUGUCAGGCGAAAAUGUCCCAAUUCUCGCGUAAGAAAUCUCGCAGUGCAGCAUCCAUCGCGGGGCUCAACUAUGUCCCGAUGGAUGCUAUCUUCAUGGGGUCCGUUGGAUGGACUUGGAAUUUGACUAUCUCGUCUGCGGGUUUAAAUGAGGUGGACUUGGGUCGCUUGUCGAGUAUCACGUCGUCCCUGUCCAUGGUGGCCCGCAGUGUUGUUAACUCUUCGGCUGCUAGGGCUUCAGAUAAUGCUUCCAGGGCUAGUGCUGCAGUUUUGUUUUCGGCGUGAAGUGCGACGUCCGGAUCACUGGCUAGAGUGAUGAUUCCGUUGGGUCUGGGCAUUUUAAGCUUCAUGUAACCGUAAUGGGGUACAGCUUGAAGCUUGUAAACGCGUCCCGCCCUAGAAGGGCGUGGUAUCCGCUGCUAAAGGGAGCCACUUGGAAUGUGAUUUCUUUGGACCUAUAAUUCUCCGGGUACCGAAUACCACAUUGAGUGUGAUUUUUCCCGCACACCGCGCUUCCCAAGUAGGGAUGAUUCCCCUGAAGGUGGUGCCGCUUUGCUCAAUGCGGCCUUUAUCAAUUUCCAUCUUGUUGAGCGUUUCCUCAUAGAUCACGUUUAAUCCGCUUCCGCCGUCCAUGAGUACUUUGGUGAGCCGAAAGCCGUCCACGAUUGGGCUAAGGACCAGAGCGGCCGGUGCCCGGACAGUCUGGAAUCGAGGUUCAUCACUGGCAUUGAAAGUUAUAGCAGUGUCGUUCCAGGGGUUUAUCUAUGCCACAUGGCAAAUUUCCGUGGAGCUUCGACGAGCCCGCUUGCGCCAGUUGUUCGAGGCGAAAGUCUUGAAGACUGUUAGUACCGUAUUGUGUUCGCUGGCAGGAUGUUGUUCCGCUUUAUGGCCUACAAGAAGAUCCUCGCCACUUUUUGCCACCUGCCGUAGUAUCCAACAUGCCCUAAGGCUGUGAGUUGGUAUUGUAUCCGGAGUACUGUGGAGCUUACAUGGCCCAUCGAGCCAUUCUUCCAAUACGGAUCCCUGCCCUGGGGUGGGUUUUGGUUUCUUGGGGAUUGGAUCAGACGACUUACGAGAGUUUGUCCGUUUAGUUCGGACAAGGGUCUUGGUGAGAGUAGUACUAUCCCAAAAUUCUGUUUGGGUUUUCCAAGCGCUCUCCAUCGCACAGUACUUCCGUACUAUGAUUGCCAAGUCCGCGAAGCGUACUAUGUCGUGACGGCUUAUAGCAUUGAGGAGUCCUUCGUCCGUGCAGUUUUUGCAGAAGAGUGAGACCAUGUUCUCCUCGCGGCAGUCCUUGACCUUGUUAAGCGAAAGGAGGAAUCUGGCCCAGUAGUGAUGUAUGGUUUCCUGGGGCUCUUGCCUGAUGCGGGAGAGACAGUUUAAGUCCAAGUAGGUGUUGUUAGCAGAAUCCAGAUUUUGAUCCGAUCUAAUGCCCAAGGGCGCGGGCGGUUCCGAGCUUAACAGCUCAGAAUCCGGAGUGCUACCCAAUUUCUUCGGCCCAAUGCCCAAUUCUAAGUCCGGGAUCUGGGUCAUGUUUUCCUUUGAGCAGGUCUUCGGCUCAAGGAGUUCGGUGAUCCGAACAUAAUUUGUCCUCAAAGUUGAGGGACAAUCCGUGUGUGGUUCCUCCACUAUCGCAAUCUCAUGGGUGGCCAACGGGGACCUGAUGUCCCUUCGGUCGGGUUUAAGCCCAAUCCGCUCAUAGUCCGUAGCGACUCCCAGAGCGGCGAUGCGAUCCAAGAGUUCAUCAAGGGAAGAGAUCUCCAUUGGAUCCAUCUGUUCGGCAAGUUCCGAACUGACGCGAAGGUUAUGAUUGAUGACCCGAGAGGCCAUCGUUGGCGCUACCGCCGAUGGGGCGGCCAUGAUAAAGCCGCCGAGUCAGAGAGUUUGGCCUACAGCCAGAGCUCCCUCCGAGGUAAUGUUGUCCUUGAUGACGAGACAAGCUAUCGAGCCUUGCAGCGACGACACAGAGGAACUCUCAAUGAAAGCACCAAUGUUGGUGUCAAAACCGGCGGAUCUCGGGUAGGGGGUGCCGAUCUGUGCGUCAAGGUUGAUGAUAAUAGGAAGCAAGGGACACAGAUGUUUACUCAGGUUCGGGCCCUCCCGAUGGAGGUAAAACCCUACUUCCUGCUUGAUUAAUAUUGAUGAUAUGGGUAGUACAAGAGUAGAUCUACCACGAGAUCGUAGAGGCUAAACCCUAAAGCUAGCCUAUGAUGGUAUGAUUGUAAUUGUGAUCGGCCUUCUAAGGACCAGCCUCUCCAGUUUAUAUAGACAUCAGAGAGGGCUAGGGUUUACAUGGAGUCGGUUACAAGGAAGGAAACACAAUAUCCGGAUCGCCAAGCUUGCCUUCCACGCCAAGGAGAGUCCCAUCCGGACACGGGCCGAAGUCUUGAGUCUUGUAUCUUCAUGCUUCAAUAGUCCGGACGUUGUACACAGUCCGGCUGUCCGGAUACCCCCUAAUCCAGGACUCCCUCAACAGUCUCCCUUCCUUUCCUUAUUCAACCCAGACAUGGAUUAGUCUGCAUGAAGUAGGGUUUCCUUUAAUAUUGCAAAUUAAGGUUUUCGUCUGCGUGACCAGCAGAGCAGAGGAUAGCAAAUUGGGAAGACGGUGGAGUGGAAAAAGAUCCACAUGCAGCGACGUGGCAGAUGGGGCAAUAGAACAAGGGUAUGGUUCGAAAAGAGGUAGCAUACCUGAGGGUCGGCAGGAAGUGGCUUCGCUCAUGGUCGUCGUCCUCCGCACACACUACGGUAGCGAGCUUGGGGACGAAGGCCAUCCCGCGCGGGCGCUAGGUAUGAGAGGAUGGCCUUGUCAUCAGUGCAUGACCUCACUCGCCGCCGACGAGUGCGUCAACAUUGCACGUCCUUUUCUUCCCCGGGGAAUCUGUGACCACCGGUGAGGAGGGAGAGAGAGGCCAUCUUUUUUAGAUCUGGAGAGAGGGUGAUAGUGUGGGAAGCAAGUGGGCAGCCCUUAGCAAGAAAGCGCUGAAGCUCCAGCAUAUAUAUCUUUUUAUACUACUAGUACUAGAGGUGGAGUGGUGGUAGAGUAGUUUAUAUUUUCUCUGCAUACAGUACCAGUUAGUCGUGCUUCAAAACUGAACGGCACACCAUUAAAAAAAUAAAGGUCAAUAACUAAUGCGGCACCUCGGGCCAACGCGGCCAGAUCGCAUUUUGCAUGAGAAAUUACACACCAUGUGCCGUUAACAUGCGGUCCCGUUCCAACAUAUCAGUUAGACGACAGCGUGAGGUAGUCGCGGGUUGAUUCAUUGGGCCCUUGUACACACAAGGAGAGCUGUCGGGGCUUGGGAGCCCGUUUGUAGGUGCUGGUGAAGUUGCGGAUGAAGGAUUCGGUGAAGUCUAGCCAGCUGUUGAUGCUGUAAGGCUUGAGGCUGUUGAGCCAGGUGCGCGUCGUGCCUUGGAGCAUCAGGGGGACAUAUUUCACGGCAAUGCGCCUGUUGCUGUUUGCAAUGCGAACUGCGGUGGAGUAGUCGAUCAACCAAUCUUCCAGCUUCACGGAGCCGUUGUACUUGGGCGUGUCUCUUGGGAGCGAGAACCCUUUGGGGAAGGGCUCGUCGCGGAUGCGGGGGCCGAAGCAAGGCGGUCCGACAUCAUCUUCCUCUUCUAACGCCAGGGAUCGCGCUAGGCGGUCGAUCCGAUGGUGGGCAUCGUUUUCGCUGACUCCUUCGUGGCGACCUAGUCGGCCGCUGAGAGUCGGAUGCGUGACAGGCGGCAGGGUGGGGUAUCUCUCCCCAUGAGGCGGAGGAGGAGGCAGAUCGCCCCAUCGCUCCACAGCUCGAGGGCGGCCUUCUGCGUCGCGCUCGAUGGUGAUUCGAGUCCGACUGCGACUGGCAGCCGGCUCCUUUUCUUGCCUUGUGCGGGCUCCGCCCGUAGUCGGCGUACGUGACGUUGUGUCGUGCUCUCGGCGUGGGGGAGGGCUUUCAGCGCGGACGCCGGCUUCAUGCCGCUUUGCGGCCGCAUCGAUCAGCUGCUGGAUGCGUCUGGUCAUGUAGGGGAGCUCGUCGGCCCCUACUCCGUUCAGCUCGUCUACGACCGACUGGGCGGCGCGUAGGUUCUCGAGAGGCAUGGCGUAGACUAGGCAUUCUGCUCCCAGUAUGUCGGCGAUGGCCGCGCCGCGUUUCUGGACGAUGCCGGCCCGGCUCGGCCAUCGGGAGGCGGCGUGCCAAAGGCGGCACGGUCGACUUCGCUCUGGUGAGCCUCGGUGAGGCGUCUCAUGGUGGCUAGCUUCUGGCCCUCCACAAUGAGGGCAAGGCGGCGUGCCUCCAGCGCCUCGGCGUCGGCGUCGGCCGGGAUGGGGGCGGACAAAUCGUGCACCACCGCUUGCAGGGUGUCGUGGGUGUUCUCGCCAAAGGCGACUCCAUGGCUGAUGACCAGCGCCUCGGUGACGGUGCUGCCACCGCUGUCGGCUCAAGGGAGAGGAUCGUCGAAGACCACCACGUUGGUGGGGAAAGUGUCGAGCGAUGCCGUGUCAGAAUCGACAAGCAUUGGGUCAGUGGGUCCAACCGACUCCAAAUCCACAGCAGGCUCGCUGGAGACGUAGAGUUGGUCGAGGAGGCUGACAAGGCGGCUCUCGGGGCAGCCGGUGCCCGCGUCAGACGCGGGCUCGUCAGAGAUGCGAGCCUCACCAAGAAGAUCGGCGAGGCAGCUCACUGCGCAGGCGUCGUCGACACCUUGCAGCGCGUCGGGGCAAGCGCCAUCGGGCGUGCCGGGCUGGCUAUGCUCGCGGGGGAGGAAGAGGGUUCUCAUCCAGAACAGGUCUCCGGAUGACGGUGCACCUGGCCCAACGGUGGGCGCCAAAUGUUGGUGGUAGGUGCGACAUAUGCCAACGGGUGGCUUAUCAUUGUGGGAGCCAAUAAGACAUCGCCGGCGCCUGGAAACGGGAUAAGGCGAAGACAUGCACGCCGGCGAAUCUUAUCCAGGUUCGGGGCUCUCCAUGGAGAUAACACCCCUAGUCCUGCUCUGCGGGGUCUCCGCAUGAUCACUAGAUCAACAAGUAGCUACAAGAGGCUCCUUGAGCUGUUUGGUGAGAGGAGGAAGAAUGGGCAAGGCUAGCUCUCUUCUCCUCUCAAAGUUGUGUCUAAAACUAUCAAAGUCCAACCCUUUGCAUGGGUGCCUUGGGGGGUUUACAUAGGCCUACCCCCUAGGGGUACAAUGGUAAUCCGGCUGGGCGUGGGCCCAACCGUCAGUGUCUACGCUCGCCGGCUUCUCCGCCGACUGCUGGGGCCCGCCGACUGGUGGGUCCCAUCGGCUGCCGGCCUCCUGGUCGACAGGUAGGCCCCACCGCUUGGUCUGAUCGGGGGCUGGUUACUAUUGCCUCACUCUUGAUGACGAGGGCUUUGUCGAGGUAAGUAUGGCUACAGUGCCGCCGCCUUGCGGGCGCUCACUGUAGCCUUACCUCGUCUUGUCUCCUUAAUGGUGCACGUUCUUCGGGGGAGGGAGCGAGCCGGCUGGUGAGGGCCGGCUAUGUCCCAGGCCGACUAGGGGAAGCAGGGCCGCCUUCGGCUGUCUCUCUGACUGAAGGGGCCUGCCGCCUGCGGGCCGUACUGAUGGCCCGUCGUGGGUGACGUCGUGGUCAGCAUGGCAACAGUGCCGCGCCGGACGGGUCAUGGCUGCCCCGUACGGCGUACUGUAGCCAUGCGUACUCUGGGAUUCGGGGGUGACGGGUUUCACUGUUGCCACGCCCCGUCCCAUGUCCGUUAUGUGGGUGCAGACUUUGAGGGCACGAUCUGGGCCGCCUAUCAGGGGCCGGCUUCUUGGAGUCGGUCGUAUCGUGGCCGGCUUCUUGGAGUCAGCCCUCCCACGACUUUCUUUAUGAGGAUUCUAGGGCCGGGCCGCCUUCCAGUAGUCGGCUGGUGGGGUAGCCGGCCGGGGGAAGGCGGCCCCGUGUCUUGGGUGCUCGAAGGCUUGAUCGGCCUAUUAUUUAUUGAAGAGCCAGGGGGAGCCGACUAGGCUACGUGUGGUCAUUUACUUCGAAAAUCAUACCAUCAUAGGCUAGCUCUUAGGGUUUAGCCUCUAGGAUCUCGUGGUAGAUCUACUCUUGUACUACCCAUAUCUUCAAUAUUAAUCAAGCAGGAAGUAGGGUUUUACCUCCAUCGAGAGAGCCCGAACCUGGGUAAACAUCGGUGUCCCUUGCUUCCUGUUACCAUCAGCCUUGACGCACAGAUCGGGACCCCCUACCCGAGAUCCGCCGGUUUUGACACCGACAAGACCCUCUCCUCCUCUUUGUCACACUGCUUGUAGGAGGUGAUGCUCUAUCCCUUUCGACAGCUUUUUUGAGGAGGCUCAACCUUGGUGACCCUCGAGCAGUCAUCAUAGUGACUUCUGAACAAUAUUCAUGACAUGAACAACAGAAAAAAACAUAAACUUCUACACUAUACUUAUUACUACUACACUACAAAUGACACGUUAUGCAUGUUGAUAAUCAGCCCACAUUUGAUGAGCAAUGGCAUCUCUAAGGUUGUUUCCUUCAUGGUUGAUUUGAUGAUUUUGAGGAAGAUCACCAUCAGGAAGAUCAACAAAAUUCAUGACAUGUAUAUUGUUUGGUUGGUUAUCUAACCAACGCUCAUCUCCUUUUUCAGAUCGGAUGAUGUUAUGUAAGAUUGUUGCCGCUGCUGGUACACUUGGUUCUCUAUUCGAUGAUGUGUGCCCACUUUUAGGAUUGGGAACCGCUUCUUCAAGAUUCCUAAUCCCCGUUCGACGUGAUUUCGUAACACGGCAUGCCGGAGAUUGAAUAGCUCCCUGUGAUUUUGGGGUCGAUGAUGACCGCGUGCAAACUCCUUCAGAUGGUACCGAAUACCACGAUACGGUGCCAAGAAGUAAGGUGUGUUGGCAUAACCACCAUCAACUAGAUAAAACUUGCCCAGAGGUACAUGAAACCCACUGUUAAGUGCUGACCGGAGAACUUUAGCAUUAAUAGCAUAUCCCUCCCAGCCACAAGAAAUGAAGGUGAAGUUCAGGUCGAAGUCGCACACGACCAUAACAUUAUGGCUUAGGGUCCCUUUCCUAUUUCUGAAUGGUGCGGCUUUUUCUCCUGAAAUUGUUAUGGGAACAUGUGUCCCAUCAAUUGCCCCAAUGCAGUUCUGCAACGAAAUACUAUAACUUAGCACCUAUAACAUGAAGAGUAAGUUAUUGAUGUGGAUCAAAGUUGGCAAAGCAAAAACCUGAAAAUAAGGAAAGAAUCUCGUGUCCGACUGAAUCUUUGGAUGCACUUGACUAGGAUUUGGAGGCUUCAAAAAAUGCUUGGAGAGAAUAGGGAUGAUGUCAAAGAAAUUCUUCAUUUGCCAAUGGAAAGUAUCCCCGCUGUGACCAAACCGAACUUGAAGGUCUUCAAAUGAAGAAUUACGGGAUAACAUCCACAGAAAUGAUGCUAGUUUCUCUUCGACUUUAAUUUUGGUAUCUUUCACCAACUUCUCCCUUCGAAGAUAAUUAGCCAAAGAUUUGAAGAUACGCGGCUUCAUCCUACAUGCUACCCGACAGUUUUUGACGUGCCCUUCGAGUAACUCCUUAACAAACAUCUCGCCUGUUAGCGAUGAUGUAUGAUGCGGAAUCCUCCGCUCCCUAAGAGCAACUCCAUCGGUCUCUAUCAAAUGUAGUGCAGGGAAAACGAAUAACAUAAUUUCGUCAUCCUCCUCCUCCCUCUUCCUAACACGAUCCCUCAUUUCCGGAUCCAUUCCAAAUAUAAAGAAGAAAAAUGCCGCUAGUUAUUACUACUACACCUAAACAGUAAGAGUGCAAGUUGUACAAGCAAACAGUUCAUAUGUUCGGCAUCGGAACAUCAUCUAACAGAAAGGACAACACUGGAAAGAAAUGACAACUGCAAUGUCUAGUAAUGUCAAUAGGAAGGUGGUAGUACUUGAGCUCAAAUUGUUCAACAACUACAAUGUCUAGUAAUGUCUGAUAUUAACAUAGCUCUCAGCUUACCAAAAAAGAACAGUUUGUAGCACAGAUCUAUUGACCAAGCAAUAAUAAUCUACAUCAAUAUGAAUAAGGAGAAGAUUAAAACAAGAGGAAUAAUCUACCUUGUCCUUCACGAUACUGCCCAAUUCAGGGUCUUGCUGCAGCUGUGAGGUGACGAAGCUAGCCUCUAGAAAAUGAAGACAAAAUGCAGAUUUAGCUAUCUUUUCAUUAUGUACACAAACUGCACUAUGUAUAUUUAGAUAAUCAAGAACAGAUAAUGAUCACACACAAACUGCACUAUGUAUAUUUAGUCCUUCUUUAUACCAAGAAAUAGACUAACAAUUAUACUAAUUCUGUCGAGAAAAAUAAAAUAAACUGAUGAUAGGAUAUGAUAGUGCAGUGCAAAUCGAGAUGAUGACCCUAGUGACAAUCCUCCCCCUCUCUCUCGACCUGUUAUCAGUCUGUCUAACUACAAAAUUAACACUGAAGCUAGAGUACUACCCACAAAUCACAACAGACAUACAAACAAAUUGCUGACACAAAAUUGUACUGCUGACUCCAGUACAGAGUAACCUGCUGAGUCCAUUUACUAACACCAAAUUGUACUGCUGACUCUAGUACAAUUUACUAACAAGGACAUAUCAGAAUAGGUAAUCUAGCUGACCUUCCUUUCUCAUUUCAAUAUGGAGUGACAACACCCAGCAACCACUUGCAUUACCUAUCUAAAUAACAAUUGAUGCUAGUUCCUAGGAACCCCAAGAAAGUCUCAACCUUGACAACCACAUUCUGGAAGACAAAUCAAGAUCUGGCUAGGUUUUCAUGGAGGGGGCGAAUCAGUGCUGCUAGAGAGAGAGAGAGAGAGAGAGAGAGAGAGAGUGGGAGGGGGAGGGGGAGGGAGAGAGAGAACUAACCAGAGAUCUCGUCCCCUGCAGCAACCACUUCUCCAGAGCUAGGGUUCCGACCGUGGCCAGGGGGCGGCAGGGGAGAUGCGACAAUCGGAGGUUAGGGUUCCGGCAAGGCCUCGUGGAAGGUCGUUGAACCAGGGGGACACCCUCCUCUCGGCGUAGGUUGCGCCGCCGCCGUCGCCAUCCACUCGCCGCCGUCGCCGCCUCCUUCCGCUUCUGGCCUCGCUCGGGAGAGACGAUACGAGCGCCUUGCUCGGGGGGAUUGCUUCCAUGGGGUGCCAGGAGAUGAUUUUUUCCACGUGGGUUUGGAGAGGUUUGGGCCGGGGAAAUACCACACGGGGCUUAACCGAAUGGAAAAAACUGGGCGGGCCGGGUUUAUUCCCCGGCGGGGGGAAACCCUGCGGACCCGCAUGGAUUAGACCCAAAACCUCGCGGGGCUGGGCUUAACCGAACAAGGCCUAAUGGAGGUAAAACCCUACGUCCUGGUUGAUUAUAUUUGAUGGGUAUUGGGGUUAUAAGAUUUGAUCUACCUCGAGAUCGUAAUGGCUAAACCCUAAAUGUCUAGCCUAUGUAAAUUCUGAUGGCCUCUACGGACUAAACCCUCCACACCGGAGGGCCCUAGGGUUGUACAGAGUCAGUUUACAGAAGAAGGAAAUAGCACAUCGAGACAUUAAACUUGCCUUCCACGCACAUAGGAGUCCUACCCGGACACGGGGGACAGUCUUCAACUUUAUCUUCACGACCCAUCAGUCCGGUCCAUAUGGAAUAUACCGAACACCCGUGGCCCCCCUAAUCCAGGACUCCCUCACCUGGGGGUAUUGUAAUGCUAAGGAUUUAGCUUAUCUUUUCUUUUCUCCAUAUAUGUUGCAGAUGGUCAAAUAUCACUUGAGUACGGUUGAUACAUGAGUAUUAUGAACUAAUAUCAACACCCGCGGGGCUCUUCAAGUUUGCUUCGAUAUUCAACUAAAUUGUAGUUAUGAACUGACAUAGUGCCCUGUAUACAAGAUACAUAAAUUGUCGGAAUUAAAAAUCAUAGCCUCAAUUACUUCUGAAGCAUAAUAUUGUUGUCUUUUUUUAUCUGUUCACUUUUAAAAUACUUAUUUCCUAUGUUGAUAAUAUUAAUCUGUUCCUUGGUUUAUAUCUUCUUGAACAGGUUCAUUCUUUACUAUAACCAUACACACUUAAUAAUCUCGAAGAGUUUCAAAACCGUGGACCACAUGAAGCUCGAAACCACAUAUAGAUGUGUUCAGAUGCAAGUUCGGCAAAUCGGACAAAGUUUGUCCAGGUAGCAAGGAUUAAAAAAGGUGACAUGUGUGUCUUGGUUUUUGAAGGCAGAGAAGGCACGUUGUGAGCCACUAUGCACAACCUUUCAUAAGGUCAAUGGAUAAAUACUUUAUAUUUUCAUGUUGCCUUCGACAUACACUACUAGGGAAAACCUUAUGCACAGAAUCUUACCAGCAGUGCGGUUUAAAAACAAAUGCUACUGCUACUUAGCAGCAGCGCGCUGUAGAAGACAACGCUACUAAUACCCAAGUAGCAGUAGGGCGCUAGUAUAAAAGAGCCCUACUACUACAAUUGCCAAGGCGUUGCCUCCAGACUAUGUAUUGUAGUAGCGCCCUUUCCAUAGAUGCGCUACUGCUAAUGUACUUAGCAGCAUUGCAUUUCGCCAACACGCGCUACUGCUAAGUAUCAUCCCCUCUUGCAACUAAGUUUAGUCCCAUACUACUAAACGAAUAGGGUGUUUACCACCUUAAAUACGUUACUUCUCAAACCAUCACAAGCACUUAGUCUUCAUUGAACUCUAUGUGUAGGAUCUGUGGCCGCAAUAGGAAUCUUCACCGGUUCUUAAACCAGGGAAGAUCCCUAUUGACAGUUUAGAUUCUACACAAAAAGAUCAUUGAUGAGCAAUGUAUUUUUGAUUUUUUUAGAUGCUUAACCUUAGUGAUAGUGCAUUUUCUCACAAGGCGCUACUGCUAUGGGCCUAGCGGUAGCGCUUUUUCCACAGGAGCGCUCUGCUAUGUACCUUAGCAGUAGCGAUGUUUUCGUUCCAGCGCUACUACUAAGUGUACCUUAUCCACCCGCGUGCGUGCCUCUCCACUCGCAUUCUCACUCGCCCAACUCCGCCGCGCGCCGUCGCCCACCAGCGCCCCUAGGUAACUCCCUCCCUCCCUCUCCGCCCUUCUCCUUCCUCUGGCGGCCCCCUCCUCCUCUCUCCGCCUCCUCCCUCNNNNNNNNNNNNNNNNNNNNNNNNNNNNNNNNNNNNNNNNNNNNNNNNNNNNNNNNNNNNNNNNNNNNNNNNNNNNNNNNNNNNNNNNNNNNNNNNNNNNNNNNNNNNNNNNNNNNNNNNNNNNNNNNNNNNNNNNNNNNNNNNNNNNNNNNNNNNNNNNNNNNNNNNNNNNNNNNNNNNNNNNNNNNNNNNNNNNNNNNNNNNNNNNNNNNNNNNNNNNNNNNNNNNNNNNNNNNNNNNNNNNNNNNNNNNNNNNNNNNNNNNNNNNNNNNNNNNNNNNNNNNNNNNNNNNNNNNNNNNNNNNNNNNNNNNNNNNNNNNNNNNNNNNNNNNNNNNNNNNNNNNNNNNNNNNNNNNNNNNNNNNNNNNNNNNNNNNNNNNNNNNNNNNNNCCUCCCGCUUUCUAUAAUAGAAAGUUUUUUAGUAAUAUAAUUUAAGAAUAAUUUUUUAGUACUAGGGUUUACGAGGAUAUAUAGAUAGAUGGAUGGAACUAGUUGAUCUAUCUAUAUAUAGUAAGUGCUUAGUUGAACUAGUUGAAUUAAUAGAACUAGUUUAUUUUUAGUAAGAAAAUUUAGGUAUAUGAGAUUUGAUGAUCUAAUUAAAAUUUUACUAUAGAACUAGUUUAUUUUUAGUAAGAAAAUUAAUAGAACUAGUUUAUUUUUAGUAAGUGCUUACUUGAACUAGUUAAAUUAAUAGGACUAGUUGAAUUUAUGCCAUUAUCACUUUGUCAUCAAAGAAUUCUGUAUGAGAUUUGAUUAUCUAAUUAAAAUUUUACUCGGUGGAAUAUGCAGGCUUUGUAGAGCCGUGUCUCCUUGGAGUGAUCAUCAUCCGAGCUACCUCUAGCUACUUCCUCUACACCCAAGUCGGUGAGCUAAAAGUCCACCUCCUCCUUCUCUACUCCUUGGUGUGUUGAAUAGAGUAGAACUAGGGUAUUUAGUUGGUGAACUUAUGUGUGAAUGCUUAUGAUAAUUGAUCCGGAUGGAAUUGCAAGUUUAAGCAUCGUUGUUUGUGUAUGGACAUCUUUGUAUCACAGGGAAAUUAAAUCCGAGUGGCCUAUGUUUUGCUGGAGUGUUGAUUCAUUUCCGUUCCGGCAAAUUUCAGGCGCUCGAUAUGUCCUAUUUUAGCAAAGGUCAUGCCGGAUUUUCCCAUGAAUUUAAGCAUGACUUAUGCUAGAAUAUGUAGGAAAUAUCGAGUGCCCCGGAUUUGCUAGAAAGAGAAUUAAAUGACAUUUCGAGUUGACUUUAAGUCUGUCGGGGCCCCAUACAUGACAGUCAAAAAAUCGGUGAGGGAGAGUCUCCACCAUAUAUGACAGAAGAAUGCUGACUGUUGUCGUGGAGGUCGCUUCUCCCUCUUCUCUUUGUGCUAGAUCUUUGUUAUGCACUAGGGGAAGAAGGAGUAGAGACCAUCAUCGACGGUCGAAAAAUCGGUGAGGGAGUGUCCACCAUAUAUGAGAGAAAGAAGAAUGCCGACUGUUAUCGUGGGGGUCGCUUCUCCUUCUUUUCCUUGUGCUAGAUAUUUUUAAUGCACUAGGGAAAGGAGGAGUAGCGACCAUCACCUACGGUCGCAAUAUCAGAGAGGGAGUGCCCACCAUAUACGUGGCAUGAGAGUUUAAUUAGGAAGGAAGACUCGACAGAGCUAAAGUCAACCCGUUUCAUAUUGAGUAAUAGUGAUCUGUGUGUUGAGUUUCCUGGUAGUUGCCUUCGAUCAAUUUUCAAUUAAUGUUUCAACUAUGAACAUAGGAAAUGUCUAACGACGAAAAGGAUUUCGGUAUGUGCGAAUACUGCAAAGACGAGCGCAGCUUGUGCGACAGAAAUUUCCUAGUUGAUGGUAGGCGCUUCAGCAUCAAGUUGGAUGAGACCUUCGAAGUGGAUACAGUAAGUCACAACGACAAGUCUUUUUUUGUAAUUAAGCAUGACUUCUGCUUCUUUUGCUUCAACUUAUAAUUUUAAUUUUUUACUAUUCUACUAGUGUAUACCCUGCCAUGCAAGAAUUUUUGUCUUGGAUAAGAUUGGUUUCAGUCGUAUGGAAACUAUGGAGGUAAAGAGAGUUCACUUGAGGACCGAGCAUCACUACUAGGGAAAAGCCUAUACACAGAAUCUUAUCAGCAGCGCGCUUCAAAAUAACUCGCUGCUGCUAACUAGCAGUAGCGCGGACAGACGAAACUCGCUGCUGAGACAAAUAUAGCAGUAGCACGUCCUCCCAAAGACGCGCUGCUGCUAUAAUUCCUACGAGGCCGCCGCGAGGCUAGUUAUAGCAGCAAUGCGUUAUAGUGAUGCGCGCUACUGCUACGUAGCAUAGUAGCAGCGCAUUUCUCAGAUAAGCGCUACUGCUAAGUUUCCUACAAAAAUUUAGUCCCACCUCGCUCCGUGAAGAGAGUUUCUACCACCUUAAAUAUGUUACUUCUCAAAAUUUGACAAGCACUUGAUCUUCAUUGAACUCUAUGUAUAGAAUUUGUGGCUGCAAUAUGAGUCUUCACCUGUUCCUAAACCGGUGAGGACUCAUAUUGACAAAUCAGAUUGUACACAAAAAGAUCGUUGAUGAUCAAUGUAUUUUUGAUAUAUUGAACAAAGUCUAUUUUUACAUGCUGACAUGUAGCAGUAGCUCUUUAUUGUGAAAGGCGCUGCUGCUAGAUAGCUUAGCAGUAGCGUCUUUUCCUGAAGAGCAGUACUGCUAAGCCAUUCAUCUCCCCCAUCUCCUCCAUUCCGAUCCACUCACACACACAGCCACUCAAUCCUCUCCGAUCCGUCUGCGCCGCGCGCCCCCGUCGCCCCUCCUCCGUCUGCGCCGCACGCCGUCACCUCCUCCUCCUUGCUGGACUCGGUACCGGCCUUCUCCUCCGUCCUCCCUCUCCACUCGCCGCUGGCCGGCCCCUCCUCGCUCCGCCUUCCUCCUCCGUCCUCCCUCAACUGGCCACGCCGGCCGGCCCCUCCUCGCUCCGCCUUCCUCCUCCGUCCUCCCUCAACUGGCCACGCCGGCCGGCCCCUCCUCGCUCCGACCUCCUCCUCCAUCCUACUCUCUUCUCCCUCCUCGAGUCGCCCCUCCUUCUCCCUCCUGCUCAUAUGCAACAUUUUGAUUUAGUUGAUAUAAUUUAGUUGAUUUAGUAGGCUAGUUGAUUUAGUUGACUUAGAACAUUUUGAUUUAGUUGAUUUAGUAGGCUAAUUCAUUUAGUUAAUUUAGUUGACUUAGAACAUUUUGAUUUAGUUGAUUUAGUAGGCUAGUUCAUUUAGUUGAUUUAGAACAUUUUGAUUUAGUUGAUUUAGUAGGCUAGUUGAUUUAGUUGACUUAGAACAUUUUGAUUUAGUUGAUUUAGUAGGCUAGUUGAUUUAGUUGACUUAGAACAUUUUGAUUUAGUUGAUUUAGUAGGCUAGUUGAUUUAGUUGACUUAGAACAUUUUGAUUUAGUUGAUUUAGUAGGCUAGUUGAUUUAGUUCACUUAGAACAUUUUGAUUUAGUUGAUCGUUAAUCCUUUGCUCAUAUUGCUUUAGGAAGAAUGGUGCCACCACCACCACCACUAUGUCGACUGUGCAAGUCAAGAUGCGCCAACAGCCUUGCAACUGGCAAGCUGUUCGGCAUCUACUUCCAGCCAAGUUUUCGUCAUGCGGCGGUAAGAAAUCAGAUGAAAUGUAAUAACUAUUUUAUUUUUAGUGUUGGCAUUACUGCAUUGUGUCAUUUUGCUUAUUUCACACAGAUCGUCCCAUGCAAUGUGAGGUUGAAAUUCAACAAGCUGACAGGAGACACUGUGACAUUUGAGGCUCCUGGGGGGCCGUACACUAUGGAGGUCGAGAAAGGAUGCAAUAUGUCGCAGAUUGGAGGAGAUGGAUGGGCCCGUUUCGUUGCUCGCAUGCAUCUUACUGGUGGUGAGUUGAUCAGCUUCAACUUCCGAGCAGAAAGACCCAAGCUAGCUGUCAUUUAUCUCAACCUGGUGGAAGAUGAUGAAGAUGACGAAGAUGAUGAAGAUGAUGAAGAUAAUGAGGACCCACUCGAUGAAGAUGAUGAGGACCCACUUCAUGAAGCCAUCGUAGCUCAAAGAACAAGGCUGAGUGAGGAGGAGGUGUCCAACCUGUGGGACAUAAUUCCACCACGUGCUGACUUUGUCGGGGUGCCAUUCGUGACCCGCUUGACAAAUACCAUGGUUGAUCGACAUGAUAUGGUAUGUUAUACUUACAAAUGCAAAUUAAUAGUGUGAAUUACUUAGUGUACAGUCCAAUGAUAUGGUAUGUUGUGUGGAAUCUAGUCAAUGAUAUAUAUGUUUUAGUGUAGAGUUCGAUCACAUGCUUAUUAAUUGAUAUGUUUUUCUUAUUCAGAAAUUGGCAAAGAGCAUAUCUGUGAGUUAUGGUAUCGAGCCUGAUGAAGAAGGCUCAGCUGGACUAUGCCUUACUGCAAGGGGCUCCAUCACAACCUGUACUUACCGCGUGGACACGGACGGUCGCACACACUUAAACUCGGUUGGGUGGAAGAAAUUCCUCGAUGGCAAGAAUCUUCGUGUUGGACAGGCCAUCCUAAUUACUAUCAGGAACACCAACCGCCCAGGCUUGAGGAUGAUGAUUGUCUUCGAUAUCAUCUAGAACUACAUAUGUGUGUGUGGCUAUAUCAUCUAGAACUACAUAUGUGUGUGUGGCUAUAUCAUCUAGAACUACAUAUGAUGAUCGUCGUCGAUAUCAUCUAGAACUACAUAUGAUGAUGGCCGUUGAUAUGACCUUGUACUGCUUGAGGAUGCAUGUUGGCUAUGCAAAUCUAGUACUCCUUUCGUUCCAAAUUACUCAUCGUGGUUCAUUACUCGUCGUGGUUUGAACCACGACGAUUAAUUUGGAACGAAGAGAGUACUACCGUACCUAGUAAUGGUUUAUGAAUUUGAUAUCUACUAGCAGUACCUAGUAUCUAGUAUCUGAAAGGAGAACUGAAAGGGAAAGGGUAAUGGGAAAAUGAUGAAAGAUAUAGCAGUAGCGAGGGAUGGCGAAAUUGCUACAGCUAGUUAAUAGUAGCGCGUUCACAAAAAGCGCUGCUGAUAUCGUCAACAGUAGUAGCGCGGGUUAGGGCCGCGCUACUAUUAUGAGUUAGCUGUAGCGCCUUAUUAGUAGCACGGCCACCCGCGCUACUGCUAGCCUAAAAACCCGCGCUGCUGCUAGCCUUUUCCCUAGUAGUGCGUGGUUAUACUUUUGCCACAAAAUUAUACAAUGCAGACACCUACACCUAUUUUGAAUGCAAAAAUUGGAGAGCACUAUGCAAGGCUUAUGCAUUUGAGCCUGAUAUGCUUAUCACCUUUGAUAUUCGUCCGAAAGAUGAUAUUGCAGGUAAUAUCGACAUCUGGGUCGAUGUGCAUAUGUCUCCAGUUCUACCAUUAUGUGAGUUUCUCAACCAUAUUUAUGUCUUGGAUAUUAAUUAUUCAAAAAUAGUUGACAACUAAUUUCUAUUGACAUCUUAUUUCCAUUCAAGCAAACAUGUCCGGUGCUUGGUAUACAUGACCUACUACUGUCCCGUGGCUGAACUAAACUGCGAGGAGAUAAGUCAUUAUGUUUCAUGGCUUGAGGAUCUUGAUACUGUCAAGACAAAUUACUUUCCUGGACUUGAAAAUCUUAGUACUCAAAAUGUGCGACCAAUAGUGUUCGUAUUGAACUACGAUAACAUCUAUUUAGGAAAGAUGGUAAGAUUUUUACUAUUUGUCCUCAGUGCAUCUUUUGCGUAUAUUAUUUUUUAAGCUAAACUUCAUUGUUAAGUAUGUUACUACGAUGUUCUUCAACAGGGGCUCCCGAUGAUAGUUGUGCCUCAUUGGAUCGAGCCUAAAGGUCGCAUAGCAAUGGUUAGCUUAUGACCAAGACAUCCUACAUUGCACAUGAGUGCAUUCAUAAUUUCUAAAAGCGACCAAGUCUUAAUAGUCAAAGACUAGAGCAAAAUUGUGAAGGAUCGCAGAGAAGUACUAGGGGGCAGCAAUCAGAAGCGCAGCCCACAAUUAGGAGACAGGUUCAUCUGCAUGCUCCAAUAUGAUGAAUCAGGAGUGCUACACAUGUUCUAUGCUAUUUUACCUGAGAGAGCAGCAGGAGUUAUUAGCUAGCUAGAAUGAGUUUGAAGAUGAUGAUGUGCUAUACUAUGACUAUGAUGAUGAAAUAGCUAGUGUUGGUGCUAAUGACUAUGAUGAUUAUUAUUAGCUAGUGUUGGUGGUGAUUAGAUAGCUACACUAUGUCUAUGAUGAUAAAAUAGUGUUGGUGGUAAUGACUAUGAUGAUUAUUAGCUAGUGUUGUUGGUGAUAUGAUGCAAGAGCUUUUAAAUUAAUAUGAUGAUGAUGAUGAUUUGUUAUUAUGAUCAUGAUUAGUUAUUAUAUCAUAGGUGGAAGGAACGCGGAUAAAUACACUAAAAAAAUAAAAAAUAAAAAAUAGAAUAAUGGUAGCGUGGGGCAAGAAAAACGCUGCUACUAGUUAUAUUAGCAGUAGCGCUGUAUGGACGGCGCUACUGCUAAGUAGCUAUAACAAUAGCGCGGGUGGGAACACGCUGCUGCUAUAGGUUAGAUGUAGCGUCUUAUCAGUAGCACGGGCGCCCGCGCUACUGAUAUACCUAAAACCCGUGCUACUGCUAGGCUUUUCCCUAGUAGUGAUACUAUAUUAUAUGAAGAUGCCAUCUAAAUAUCUCCUUGCAUGGUAUGCCUUAACUAUAAUAUUAUUAGAAUUGAUAAAUAUGCCAUCUAAUCUCCUUCCAUACUACUCCCUCUGUAAAUAUUAGUUAAAGACUAAUUAAGUCACUGUUUCUUAAUUUUUUCUAUUCCUUAUUUAUACCUCCAAACAGUAUAGAAUGUCAGGAGUUGAACUAUAAAUGCUUGCUUAUGCUUAAUAGAUCACCAAAAAAUGGAGAAUUUAUUCAUUUGCAUUUUUAUCGUGUAGACUGGCUCGCUGGACCUGGCGAGCCAGGCCGGUAGCGGGGACGGAGAGGGUGGGAACCGAACUUGGUGGAUCGGAACCCCCGCCGGUGGACAGGACCGGCCCGAAGAUAACCGGUGGUGGCGGCGGCGACAGCUGUAGCGGCCCAGGCAGUGGUGGCGGCAUUUGCAGCGGCCCCACGGAUGCGGCAGAAGUCGCCAGGAACGAUGGCUGCCACGGCGGCGCGGUGGCGGCGAUGGGCGGCGCAGCCGGAUGCGGCCCGUAGGACCCGGCCAAGAACAGGUGGAUCUCCUGGACCGCCUAGGUUAGGUCCCGCAGCACUCCGGACACCUCCUCCGAGGUGAGGCCGGCGGGGGAGGGCGCGACGGAGGAUCCUGGAGGGGGCAGGAGCGGGGCGACAGUCGUGGUGGUCGCUGAAGACGACGAGGUGAUCGGCAGCGGGAGAGACGGGUUGGCCCGUGGUGAAGAGAUGAUCGAACCGAAGCUAGCUGAUACCAAACUGGUAGGAGCUUGGGCCCUACCUAGCCUGGACAGUAGGUUGUAGGGGUGGGAGGCUGGUUGGCGAGGAGAUGGGCGCCGCCGCCGGCGCGUCGACGCCGUAGUCGCGUGGGAGGAGGAGGAGGCUGAGAGGGAGAUGGCGCAGGGGAGGUGGCGUCUAGGGUUAGGUCUCCCGGCUCCCUAAGGAAGCCGAUCAAAUAUGAUUGCUUCCUGCUUAACUUCAAACGAGUCCUUACAUGAGUUUAUAUAAUCUCCAAUAUGAUAACUGGGCUAAGCCCCUAAUAACGAUAAAAUAAACUGGGCCAGGCCCCUAAAGUAUAUGCCGGCCAUAACAAUUUUCAUGUUCUAUCUUAGAUGUAGCACAUUGUGUGUAUGAAUCAUGGUGAAUGUCAAGCCUACUUAGGUCAUACCCAAGUAAGGUCAGUAUAGAUGUAUAUUCCUUAUAAAAUGUGGUGCUCUAAUGUAACUUUGUUCCUCAAUGGUGAAUUAUGUUUUUCUAUAGUUAAAGUGCAUGUGUGUUGCUUUGAUGUAUAUAAGUGAAAGGGAACAAAAAAAAAGAAUGGGAGAAGGGAGCUUCUUGCUUUUCUUUUUCCCUUUUGUUUCUGUUUGAUAAUUACUCAUCCAUCCUGAUGCUUGAGUAUUUUCUAACCUCCACUGUUUUAUUCUUUUGGUGCUACUUGGACGUUUCUAAUGUCUGAUUUUUUGUUUUCUUUCAGAAUACAGAAAGAAUAAGCUACUAGCAUUCCUAAUGUGCAAGUAAACCUACUACAACGAGAGAUCUGGGCUGCUUCUUUGUGGCUUUCAAACUUGAAAUGUUUGUUCAGAAGUUAGUUUAGUUUUUUGUUGUGGAUUCACAGCUUCUCACAUGUACCAUCCUCUUAGACCUUUAGAUUUCUAAAGAAACUAAAUGAAGAUAUGGUGGUAUGGUCUCUAUAGUACAACUUAACGCCUUCCAUGCUUUAUAUUUUCUCUGAAAUUUGUUCUUGAAGAAUCAUGUAUCUAUGUUAGAUCCGGUGAGAAAAGGCGGCUUCCAAGCAGAGGACGCGGGCGUGUUGGCCACAUUUGGUUUUCGACUUGGGUGUCUAAAUAUUCUCACAAUACUUGACUCCCUCUCACCCUUUGCGCCAUUGGCGCAACUAGUCAUCUAGUUCUAUAACAGAUGGUAGAUAUACAAUUAUACAUGGUUAGAGAACAGAAAGAGGGGCAUGCAGUGUGUACAGCCUGUAUUUCAAAAAGGGGAGCUCGACAGGGAAGGAAUGAUGCAUCUAUGAGGAAGGAGGGAGCUCCAUUAGAAAAAGAAAACGAGACUGGGAGAUAAAAGGGUUAUGGGUUGUUCUGAUGGCUGUUGCUAGUAGCAGGGAUGGUGAAAAUAAAUCUACGCCAUGUUCCUGUGAGAGCUGCAUGAAGGAGAGCUGAAAACCCCGUUAAAAAAAGGAACUGAAAAUUCCAGCCUGGUCGAUCGAUCUGUAGGUGAGUGUAAGAUGUUGACAUCUUGUGAAUAGUAUAUCCUGUAAAAAACAAAUUUGGUAGAUCUUCUGAAUAGUAUAUCCACUCAAGGUGAGUAGAGGAGUGUAAGAUGGUGCAACACCAGAUUGACAUCAGGUAUUUAAUCAGUCUUGUAUAACGAUUGCUUCUCUGGGCGGUUAGCUUUAUAGUCUGCUUUUUUCGGAUUUUUUAUUGAAGUUGUGCACUAUUUGUUACUCCCUCCGUCCGGAAAUACUCGUCGGAGGAAUGGAUGUAUCUAGAUAUAUUUUAGUUCUAGAUACAUUCACUUUUAGACAUUUCUCUGACAAGUAUUUCCGGACGGAGGGAGUACAUAGGAUCAAGAAAGCUAGAUCUUUGUGUGCAUAAUGAAUUUCCUUUUUGUUUCAUGAUUUACAUUUAUGAUUAAUUAGUAUUUUUAUAUGCACACAGUAAUUUUAUAUGCUUUGACAAGAACUUUUAAGUGGCUCAAAUUAUCUGUAGAAUUAAUCUAUUUUACAAAGGAACAUAAUAGCACAUGUACCUCUAAUUUUAAUAUGCCAUGUCCAAUUAUUCUAUCUACGGUGAAAGAAACCAAGAUACCAGAAGACGAUCCGUCGACAUAUAGACUUCGGAAUCUUCCAUUUAGACAUCAAGAGUGGUGCUAUCUCUUCUUCCUAGGAGCUCCUAAAAGACAUGCUCGUGGUUGUGACUAAUGUCCAUACUAUUUAUCUCAAGGCUACACUGGUGCACAAGACGGAAAGCGAACUUUGAGGUUUCAAUGUCUCAUUUGAAAAACAUUGCAAUAGAGUUUAGGCAUUCUCCCCAACCCGCACACAUACACCAUCAUCGUCAAUGACCUAGGAAGCACCAUCCCAAUGGCGCCAAGAAUUAUUCUAUGGGGCACCAUCAAACGCACCCCAUAGCUUCCGCUGCAUAAAUAGCAUUGCCGACGGCGGCACCUGGCAGGGGGGCAGAAGGGCUAUUUUGGGACCAUUACACUGUUGUACCUCGACAACGGUGAUGGUGAGGUAGACAUCCAGUACAAGUGGUACAACCUCACCUUCUACCUCGAUAAAGAUGGGUCUAGCACCAAUUUUACCAUGCAAUGGUAUGGGAUUCAUUAUCACCUUAGCUCACGGAUAUCAUACUCACCCGCAUCAAGCCCACAAAGAAUGCAAGGAAAAAGAUGGUGAAGGUACUGGUCACGACCGCCGUUGUCUGGGGCCAUCAUGGUGAAAGUGGAUGGCUGGGAUUCAUGACGGGUCUGAGGCCGAUCCCAAGCAAGAUCUUAAUCAAUUGUGAAUGUGAUGCCAUUGUCGAUGAAAACGACGCAGGGCAUGAAGGGUGUCAGCCGCGACACAGUGAGGAAGUAAAAAUAUACCUAAUCAUGUCAUGUUUUCUUCCUCCCCGCUUACCGCCUCCUUCCCGCUUCCUCUUGCUCCUCCUUGCUUGGAUUCCGCGCUCGUCUACUAGUAACGCCACCGAAUUGUUAAUCUGGCUUGGGCCCUCGUGGAAUUGGGAAGGGGGAAGGCUCUGGUUUAGUUCCGUCUUGGAGAAAACAGGUAGCUCACGCCUUUGGUUCGAUGAUGAAUUAGAUCCCAGUCUCGCCCAAUCAUCCAGCGAAAAAAUAUGGAAUCCAAUAACUCCCGAACGAGGUUCGGAUUUUGAGCAUUUCGUCCCGAACGUUUUUACAUGGCAACUUUAGUUCAUAGGGGAUGGCAACUUUAGUUGACAGGGGAUGACAACUUCGUCCUUUUUCGUUUUUUUGUCAGAAAAUUGCCAUGUUUUCCUAAUCUCACGCAAACUAAACUUACCAUCUAAACCCGUUUAGGUUGCCAUGCUUAACUCCCGAAUGUUCGGGAGUUAUCAUUACCGAAAAAUAUAUCCCUGUUCAACUGUAUAUUUGGGAGGAAUCGUUGCUAGUGCUUAACUCCGGUAGAUUUGGAUGCAUCGUGUGUUAAGCCAGAUGUCUGAUUUGUAGUAUUGAACCUGUGAGCUGCUUGGGCACAGGUAUAAGAUGGCGAGCGAGCUGACUGUGAUGGCACUCCUGCAAUGUUCUACACACAAUUAGUUUGUGAGUUUGGGAUGUCACUUGAUGCCAGUUAAGACAUCUCCCACUAGGAUAUCAAAACAGUGAAUACUCAUACACAGGCUUGCUCUUGUUCGAUUUAAAGCACGCAUUCCACAUAUUCUUCCUCUCUAGUGAAGCUGAUUGAGGUUAAUUUGAGAUGACUGCAGAACAUAGCAUGCACAAUCACUGUCGAUUGGUACCAAAUUUAGACAUGAAAAACAUUGUUAUAAAACAGGCCCACCUAGACCACAUAAGCGAUGGGGGACUCCUUCACGUCUCGCCUGCCUAUGCAGCCACAUAGCCUGAUGGUGUCAACCAGGUUGCACCCACCCUGCCGCUUGCCUAGCACCUAGCCAUUCCCAUAAAACUUUGAAUUUACUUGAGUUCACUCUCAAAUUAAAGAAUGCUCCAGUACACUCUUAGAUUAGUUUACAGAGGUAGUAUGUUUUAUGCCAUGGCCCUCAACUUCUGUGGGGAUUGAUAGUACAAAAUCACUUUCUAUGUUGCAACUUUACAUGAAAAAAUUUAGCUGUAAAAUUUACGAAACCAAAGUAUUCUUUUAGGCUAUAAAAAGAGUGAAGGAUGAAAAUCGGUGCAUAUGGAAAGAGAGAACUUCAAAAAAAAAUUCUCUAUCAAGUCUCUUGUGGCAGCUUAUGCAUUCAGAGCAGAAUGUUUCCUGUUCUUCAGAAACUGAAGUGAUUUUUUUCUUAAUGUUAAUGUACUGGAAUUUUCGCAGGAGGUUGCAAAGACAUUCCGCGUAGAGGCGAUGCCGACCUUUGUACUGGUGAAGGGCGGGCAGGAGGUGAGUCGCGUGGUCGGGGCUAAGAAGGAUGAGCUUGACAGGAAGAUCAAGACGUUCAUCUCAUCGUCCUGAUCCUAGCUUAAUUAACCUGCACUCCAAUUGCAGUGCCAGGUUCUGUCUUCUCCCAGUGGCAAAGGGGCUCCUAUGGUUUCCCCAUGGUGUUGUAGCACCAAUCCUCCUAAAAUGCUGCAAAUCCGACGUAAAGUGGUAAUAAAGGUUCUGAAACUUGGAUCGUGUAAAUGUGUAACUCUGGCCUGUCUGAUCGUUACCUGUCACCUUUUGGCAAUCAAGUUACCGAGGUACUCCCUCCGUCCGGAAAUACUUGUCAUCAAAAUGAAUAAAAGGGGAUGUAUCUAGAUGUAUUUUAGUUCUAGAUACAUCCCUUUUUGUCCAUUUUGAUGACAAGUAUUUUCGGACGGAGGAAGUAUAAAGUUUGUUACUUGUCAAGCGUGUUUUUAUCCUGAUUCUUUUUGUUUUGUUACUACUAAAAGGCCAACCUGUUUCGCUUUGCUAUCAAGUGACCGGCCGCAGUGCAGUUGAUAUACUAGUAGUCGUCGGCAUUGGUACAUGGAUUCCUCGAGAGAAGCUAGCAUAGGUGUAGUAGUUAGCUGAAUGUGUUCUGCUUGCAGACUUCAUUCAGCAAGACAGUAGUAACAACAGCCAAGAAACUCACUAGAACUUGGCCAACAAUGUGCUGCAGAUAUCAUUGCAGUGUCCAGGCGUCGAUGAACGUAUAGAAAUGGAUUUCAGGAACUGCAUGGUUUACCGUUUACUUUGACCAAGGUUCUUGUAAGAAGUCAUAUAGAACAAUCAUGCAUGGACCAAUGACCUCUCUCAGAUUGCCAAAAGAUCUUCAUUGAACAGGUGGGAGUCAAUAUGGGCAUCCAGGUCCCGCUAUUGAUUAUUGACGGAAGAGGAGUCUCGGUCAUGUCUGCAUGUUCUCGAACCCGUAGGGUCACACACUUAACGUUAGGUAGCGCUAGGGUAGUAUUGAGAUAUUCAUAUGGUGAAGUCCGAAAGUAGUUUGGAGUCCCAGAUGGGAUCCGGGACAUCACGAGGAGCUCCGUAAUGGUUAAAGAUUUAUAUAUGGGAAGUCAGAUUCAGGGUUCCGGAAAAUGUUAGGUUUUUUGGGUAUUGUACCGGAAAGGUUCUAGAAGGUUCCAGAGUGGGGCCCACAUGGACGUGGGUAGUGGGGUAAGGUCCCAUACCCCUAGUCUAGGUGCACCAAUAUCCUCCCCUAAAAUGAAUAGGAUCGUAUCUUGAAAGGGAUAAGAUCGAGAUCCCUAAAAAGGGGAUAGCAAUCGGUGAGGAAGAAAAGGAGGGAUUUCUUUCCUUCCCCCUUGGCCAACGACCCUAGGGGCUUGGAGGGCAAUCUACUAGCCUCCUCCACGCCUAUAUAAAGGUGGGGAGGUGUUGGGGACAGCCACCCUUCCACACUUGUCCGUCUCCCUCCCGUCAAACCGCCCCCACCUCGUGCAGACGCUUGACGAAGCCCUGUUGCAGUUUUGCCACUGCCACCACCACCAGACCGCCGUGUUUGUUCAGAUCUUAUUUACCUCCUCUCCCUCACUUGCUGGGUCAAGAAGGAGAGGACGCCAUCGAGCCAAACGUGUGCUAAUCUCGGAGGUGCCCGCACGUGCGGUGCUUCGAUCGGAUUGGACUAUGACUACAUCAACCACGAUCUUUAGAUCGUUAACGCUUCGGUCUAGAAGGGUACGUAGGCACACACUCCCCACUCGUUGCAAGCAUCUCCAUAGAUAGAUCUUUGGGUGUUUCGUAGGAAAAAUAAUAAUUUGUUUUCCACGCAACAUACCCCAAUCCUCCAUACCGUGCCUGAGAAGUCAGCACACGCCACAAUAGUAGCCAAUCUUCUCGUAUUUUGUAAACCUUUUCUUUCANNNNNNNNNNAGAUUGAACCGCUACAGCGACUGAAUUGGUGGUAUCGGUACAGCAAUGUGUAAAUGGGCCGGCCUGAUCGGAGAUGCUCUGUGUGCCGGCUUCUUCUCUCGUGCAACUAGUUUGGUGGCCCAAUGAGCUUAUUUUUUCGAGGGAACGGUGGCCCAAUGAGCUGGCCCUGCCAGUGGUAGUAUAACUUGGUCUGUCGCCUCUUUCCCGUCCAUCGGUUCCCCAACCAAAGCAAAAAACCUAGGGUUUGUGUUAGGGCGGCGGCGGCGGCGGCGGCGGCUUUAUUCCCGAUCCCGAUCACCAUGCCCGUCGAAGCCGCGUCAAGCUCGGAUGAGGAGGAGGAGGAGGAGAUGGCCGCCCUCUCCGAUUGGGAGAUGGCGGCGGAGGAGGGGACCGAUUUCUUCACCGAUUGGGCGAUGGAGGGGACCGCCGUCUUCCCCGAUUGGGCGAUGCUGGAUCGCAUCGGCCGCACCCGCUGCCACAAGGACCUAGACGCUGCUCGUCGGGUUGUCAACAAGAACAAGACCGCCGCUCAACUCCGCAUUGACCACGGCCGCUCCUGCUACGUGUCCUUCACCCUCGCGGCUCCUCCAAAAGGGGUCUCCUACCUCAACCUCCACUGGCCGAUGCGAGAAUGCUCCGACACCAAGCCCCCCGCCUAUCCCUUCGUCCGGGCAACCGACAAGGACCUCGUCCUCUUCGACAUCGACAUCCUGAGCCGGAUUUGCGCCCCGUCAGAUCUGUUCGUCUACACGGCCGCCGGUCCUUCCCCCUCGGUGCAGUUGCUCCCCCGGUACACCGAGGACAGGAGGAGGAAAAGGCGGUUGUUCCUGAUGGAUAAAUUCUCCACAGGCAUCCUGCGGCUCUCGGAGAAGCGCUACAUCGUUGCCGACCUCAGUGUCCUGGAUGGUGCACUCUUCGUCUUCGACUCCUCCCAGACUGAAGAGUGGACAAUCAUCCCCAUUAUGCCUGGCCUGAUACGUUGGCACGCACCCAAGCAGAAGCAGAGCAGUGGCAAGCUCCCCAAGCUCUGGUCAACUGACGAUGUGCUCGCUCUCGACGACCGUUUCCUGUGCUGGGUUGACUACUUCAGCGGUGUCCUGCUAUCUGACUUCUCUUCCACUAGAGGUUCCCCGCCCCUCCACUUCGUACCUUUCCCUGGAGAAAAAGAAUACCCUGAAGAGCUACGGGUCUCAAGGCACUUCCCUGGGAGGUUCCGAAGUGUGUCCAUUAGCCAAGGCAAGAUGCGCUUUGUCCACAUUGACAAUGACUUCCAUGAGACAAUCCACGAUGAUGAUGACUCGCCAUGGCAUCAGCUUCCUCGCAUAACAAGCCAAGGGCAGCAGCAUAAGGGUCCCCAAAAAAUCACCAUUUGGACUUUGAACUCCGACAAAUUCAGUUGGGAGCAACAUGCCAUGAUCAACCUGGAUGGUCUAUGGGCGCAACGUUGUUACAAAGCUCUGGACAUACAGCAGCGUCUUCCCGAGUUCCCAGUCGUCAGUGUGGAUGACCCGGAUGUUCUAUGCUGCCUGUUAAGGGAGAAGGAAUUUGGUGGCAAGGGGUGGAUGAGCGUGAUUGACAUGAAGCUUGCGAAACUGCAGGCAUGUACUCAAUAUAUCAAUCGACGGUCCUACUGUGCUGAGUGCAAGGAUGCGGGCUGUGCUGAGUGUGUGGAUGACAAAAACGAUUUCCCUAAUAUGCCCCUACUUCCAACUGUCUUCUCCUCCAAACACCUUGAAAGGCCAACUGGUAACUACUAGCUAUAAGAAGCUCACUUAUAGUAUUCAAAUUAUGUCUUUUACGUACCGUUCUUGCAUACAGUAUUACAUAACAUGGUCGCCUUUGCUUAGCUUUCUGUUGGAUAUGGUAGUGUAACACUGGUCUUUUUGCUUAUUUAUUAUAUAUAUUUUACCUGUGAAUCUAUGACGCAACUCACCUGCUGCCUGGUUUGGUGUACGAGUCUCAGCAACUCUCUGCAUGCCGACUUUCUAGACCCGCACCACUCUACUUAUCAGGGUUGUGUGCCCGAUGUUAUUCCUGUCUCAGGUUUUUCAGUUUCCUGCCUUCAUCACGGACCUCUAGUGUGCCUGUGUUAAUAGUAAUAUGUUAAUUUAUUACCCCUCGGCAAAAAAUAGUAACAUGUUAAUUAAUUGAAGCAUUUACAAUAUUGUUACCAUGAACCUUCUGUUGGGCUGUUCAAGCGUUUCAGUUUUAGACGCUCCAGUUGUGUAGGUGCACUACACUGUAUAUCAAUAAUAGCUCUGGUCCUUCUGUCAUCAAGUUGUCCUUGUGUAGGUGCACUCCAUCUCCUUGUUGGAUCUUUUGCUCUUUUGGGGACGGUCCAUUUUAUCUGUACACGUGUAGUUCUUGAUUCAUCAGGCAGCCUUCUGUUGCUACUACUAUGGUGCGCUAUCUUGAAGCGGAUUCUAGGAACCACACUAUUUUGAUUGCUCUGGUGAAGGAUAGAACUAUAUUGUCCUCUAUUUUCUAGUAUGUCGGAGCAAAUGCCUUGUACCUUUAGAAGAUGAUAUACGAUGCUUUUAACACAUAUUUUUCUGUUGACAAAAGUUUUAGAAUGUGUUUUGUUUGGGUUACUUUGGGUCAACCAGGCCACAUCUUUGGCUGUCCCUGUUGUAAUCCUUUUGAUUCUGAUAUUGUGUACCUUUUAUACCCGUGUGUAACUGGAUACUCGGCCAAGGAAAAGCCGUUCUCCCUGCAUGGAAAUGUCAUUAGGUAAAACUCCCGUAGCAUUAGCCUCGCUGCCCUUCUCAUGUUACUUUCUUUGGCUUUAUUCAGGCGACGGGCCUUCCGACUGUCUUCUACAUCCUGUCAUGCAUAAUCCGACGUCCUUUGCACGUGGACUGUUGUCGGGACUCCAUGUAUCUUGAGUUUACUGCUUUCUUGCUGCCUUCAGCCUUUUCCCACCUGAAUACAGCACCCAUGUGCCGGCCUUGUCUGCAGCACAGUCGCCACCAAUUCCUUGCGUGUCAGCUGUAGUCCUUCCAGCUGAUUGACAAAGGCGAUACCUGCUCAUUGAGGCCACAAAAGUCACAUCAUGGCUAGUGUGGUGUUCUCAGACAACGCUUUGAUGACGAGUUAGCUGAGAGCUAAUGGAAAACAGAUAUGGAGUCAUGACGAUCUGAAACCUAAUCAAGGAUAUGAUGGCAUUACGUUUGCAUUAAUAUUGACGGCGAAGCAGUUUUCUUUAUCAAUAUACUCCACUGCAAUGCCAUUUCUCUUGUUUGUCUAUUCCUUCUUUUUGAACAAUUAUUGUGUACAUCUUUUUUAUGAAGUUGCAAUUCAUCUCAUCUUCCCAUACUGCUUGCGAGAUGUUCAGAUGGUGUAUGUAUCUGAGUUAAUUUUUAUUUCUAUUUUCAAAGGGGUGGCAUUGGACAACGACAAGGUUGCAACUCGUCUUUCAAGUAAGUCUGCAAGGUUUGUUCCAAAGAGGCGUAAGUGUGCAGCGUAAAGACAUGGAAUCUGGUGACAUGGUGUUGAUCACUUUGGCGUCGCUCCUAUCGAAGAUGAUGUUUGUGUUAAUGCCUUAAUGGUGCACUGCAGGCAGAACCAAGUUAAUAGGGCAAAAUCCAUAUAUGUGAUGAAGAUGAUGUACUGAUGAAUACCUAUAUCUAUUAGAGUAGACUAUGCAUGUUUCUGGAUCAUCUAAUCAUGAUGUACUGAUGAAUACUCCUACAAUUUCUAAGCUCUCUUUAAUUGGGAAGCUCUCAUAGCUCUAUGGUCUAGAGUUGUUGCUGCCUGCACCUCUCAGUCGGGUCCUCUCGUGUGGCCAUAUGGUGUUUUCUAUCCCUUGAUGCUUUAUUAUAUGAGAUAAGAAAGGACGCCCUUUUUU